rnacentral:lncRNA from 1 species
CAUCAACUAAGCUCAGACAAUCAUGUUCCUCAUCUCAGUCGGGUCAUUAAGCAAUCAACCUUCGCAGACACAGUCUCCGUCUUAUCAUACUCCGCACCGACACUAAUCAUCUGCCAUAUUGCCGCGAGUUAAGGCUCACCUCCGCCAAUACUGUUUUAUUUCCACAAUGGAGCAGAUGCAAUCUUCAUUCAUCAUGGUCAAUAUCGAAAUUGCUGUGACGUCGCAGCGGGUUAACCCUCACCUCUAGAAACACUGUUCUAUUUCUACAAUGGAGCAGAACAAUCUUCGGAUUACCAUAGUCACCGUCGACAUUGUAACCAGUUAUGAUGUUGCACUGGGGUUCAGCUCACCUCCAGCAACACUGUUCUAUACUUCUAUAUCUAAGUUGGUUAUUCCUUGCUCGGGAAGACCCCAAUCCCACAAGCCCAUUAGCACAGCGCAACUACUGCAAUAUUCAAAAUCCAUUAAAGGCCCAGUGCGUAUUGCUCAUAAAAGCCUCUUAUCUAUGACGGAUUCACGCCGACAACUAAAUUGAAGAAAGCCAAGCGCAAACCCAGACAGCAAAUGAGGCAAAGAGAUUGAAGCUGUGCAACCAAGCAAUCUUAGAACUGCUCAUUUGGGAUGCAGCAAAUUUGAACAGGACAUAGAGAGCACUCAAAAGAUAAAACCAGUAACAAAAUUUCACAAACGAUAAAUAACAUUAGCCGAAGUAACAUCUUAACUAAAACGAUGCACUGUAUUCAAUACAUAAGAGAAGUAAAUCCAAAUCCUGCUUAUAUGGCAGAAAUUUCCAAAAGGAUCGCGAAAAGAAACAAUGGAGAUUGAAUGAAGCAAAGACUUCCUAACAAGGACUCUAGUUGUCAAAUGCAUCAUCAUCAUCAUCGGGAAGAGGUUGGGCAGCUGCUGCAUUAAGCUCAGCCUCAUGCCUGAAAUAAUAUCAACAAACACCAAAGUGAGAUGAUUUACUUCUAUGCCAAAUUUUCAUUCUACUGUCCAUAUAUAACUUAACUUUUUUUGGUAAUGAUCAUAUAACUAACUUAGCCUCAAAACAUCUAAACGUAGGAGAAAAUCACAUAGCAAGUUCAUGAAUGAAUAGGGCCUUACUGUAGUUGAGUAGCCAUGUCAAUCUGGACUUCUGGGGGAGCAAGAGCUGGAGACUCGACGAAAUGAAGAUUGGCAUCACUGAAAUGAAGGCAAUAAUAAUAUUAAUUAUGAGUGUCCAAGCUUGUACAUCAUUAAAACAAAAUGAGUCUAUAGUUAAUUACCCUGCAAGCUUCCUGGCCAGGUAGAGGAAAGGUUUCUCGAAAUUGUAGUUGCUCUUUGCAGAUAUCUCAUAGUACUGCAAGUUCUUCUUCCUAUGGAAGGUCACCUGCUUAGCUUUAACCUGCCUGUUCUUCACAUCAACCUUGUUCCCGCAGAGGACAAUGGGAAUGUUCUCACAAACCCUGAUAUUUUAAGAGACAAAUGUAACAAUUUGUCAGCAGGUGGGUAAACAAGACAACAAAAACAAGAACAGAUUUCAAUCUCUAGAUUCAUUCAACUCACCGGCAAAGAUCACGAUGCCAUGUAGGAACAUUCUUGUAUGUCAACCUUGCAGUGACGUCGAACAUAAUGAUUGCACAUUGCCCAUGGAUGCUGCAAAAUAAAAAAAUAAAUAAAAAAAUUUAGAAAGACAACCCUUAUUAGUUAUUACAAACAAUCGAUAAAACCAAAUCAUGACAACUAAAGACGCAUAGCCAGAUACCACAGAGACAAGCACUGGUAAUGAACCUAUGUUCUGUUCAAAGAAGAUGAGAAAGCAACGUGAACACAUCUUCCCUAAUGAUUUACUUUCUUGUUUUCAUAUGAAUACAUUACAUUCUCCCACCCAAAUCAUAAAAAGAUUCUAGACAACAACCAUACUCAAAGUCAAUUGCAUGCUUCUAAAUCAGAUAUCAACAAUCAACAUAUUGGUAGAGACCACUUACUAGUAACCAUCUCGAAGGCCACCGAAUUUCUCUUGCCCAGCAGUAUCCCAGCAGUAAAACCGGAUCUUCCCACAGUUUGUGAAGAAGUCUAGAGGAUGAACCUCCACACCAAUAGUUGCUGUUUCCAAAAUAAACAAAAAACCAUCAACAUAAAACCCAAAAUCCAAGCAACGGAGACAAAUUGACAAAUUGACCAAUUUCAAAAUUCAGAACGCGACUCUUACGUUCAUAUUUCUUCUCAAACUCUCCGGUAAGAUGCCUCUUCACGAAAGUAGUUUUUCCUGCGCAAUGCUCACACCAAUCAGCCUAAUCCAAAACUCAUCCGCUUACAGUAAAAAUAAACACUGAUAAAAUCAAGCCAAAAUUUACAGAAAAACGUGAGCAGUAACAAAUUAGAUCAAAUCGAUCAAACCUACUUCAAUCCUAUCGGAACGAAACUCCAAAAGAUCUAAAAUUUACAGAAAAACGAGAGCGGUAACAAAAUUAGAAGAUCAAAAAUUUACCGGUGCCUCCGUCGCCGACGAUGACGAGCUUGAAGCUCGGAUAAUCCACAGUCUGUUGGUUUGGCAAAGCCUACAACAUCAAAAUCGAAAUCAACACUAAACCCUAAUUCCCAAAAACAAAAGCACAAACAAAGACGAUCCAGAGCUAAAACCCUAAGGCAUGAUCGAGAAGAGAGAGAGAGAGAGUGAGAGAGAGGUACCAUGAUCGGUGAAGCGGCGGCGAAGUGAGAAAUAGAGACGGCGAUUUGGGGUUUAGAGGUAGGUAGAGGGAGGCGGAGGGGACUACUUAUAUAAGGCUGGGAGCGCGUGGCUUUAAAUCGACGCGACUAUCUCGCCCAUAUGAUUUGCGUAGUUUUAACGCUGGGUUCUAGAAACCACCGUUGAGGUGUGGGGUGAGUGUAAAAGGGGGUGUAGAGAGAUAUUUUCUCCCCUUUUUGAAUUUUGAAAGUUUGGAUCUCUAAUAACAAAGCUUUUGUUUACGGUUUUGAUUUAUUUGUGUUCUAUAAGUGCAAAGAUAUUUUUCUAAAUUUGAGAAAAUAGGAAAAAGAUUGAGUAUAAAUUCUAUGUCGAUUAGAUUUGAUGAAUCAAACCGGAUAAGAGGUAUUAUGUUUUGGAUUUUUACUAUCAAUGCGUGUAUAGUGAAGAUUUAGAUUUCGAGUUUUGAAAAACUGAUAGAAAAUGAGAGUACUGUAGCUACUCUUGAUUUUCGAUUGUAGCUGAUGCGCUGCCCUCUUGACACUUGAUACUCGAUUAUGGCCAAUGGCAGAACCACGUUUGGGUCUGUGGUGUCCAUACCUCUUCAGGUUUUCAAGCACUUCACGAAGCUACCAAGUUACUGGCAAAUACAUGAAAGUUAUUGUUUCUUUUUUGUAUGUUGUUGAGAUUGUCUCUUUUAUAGAUUAACUCAUUCCACACACACAUGUAUCUAGCAAGUGUAAAUUGUUUUUAACUAAUAUGUAUAAAUAUAAUAAUGUUUAUGUUAAGGAGUUUCGAUUACUCCUUAACAAUAUUAAUAUAAAUUUAUAAAUUUUUUCUCUUGCUAUAGCCAGUUCAGAUUGCUAUGAUAGUCUGAUACACGGUAUUUCAAAACCCUCUCAAAAUCGUGAUUACAUAAUAAGAUGAAACCAUCAGAAUGAAUUUGUUUUGGUGAUUCCGAAGACUUGCUACAGAAAGAACUAACGCAUCAAAAAAUACAGGAGGUUAUCAAGCGUUAAACCCUAGAAACGAUGAAGAGUUUACAAGCGUAAACUCAUCAAUAAAACUCUGGAAUUCAACAAUCAAUCGUGUCAAAAAUACUUUGGGUUCAAUCCCAUUAUUUUUUUUUUUUUUAAAUAUAUAUUUAGGAGUUUCUUAAAGUCAAAAGUCCUCUUUGUCCCCGCGUAUCCGGGUAUAUUACAAAAUCGUACCACGUAUCCGGACGUAUCCCAGAGGCGUAUCUACACUUGAUUAUGAGAGAAGAGAAAAACAAUGGGCGCAUAAACCCGGAAAUAGAGAGACCACAGACGACCCGAUUCUGGUUUUUAAGGCGAAGAACCUGAACCAAUUGCCACAGAUCUCAAGUCAUGGCCACCUGGCCCUCCUCUUCCGACCCUUCUAAUCAGUAAGCCCUUCAAAACCCACCCAUAAAUUAUCUCUAUGUUCUGUUUUCAUCUCAAUAAUCGAUUUGUUGCAUGCAUGAAUGUAUUUGGAAGGCAGCCUGAGGCAAUAAGGAAGAGAAAUAAGUCCGAUCAAAUUAAGUUCCUGAUUCCUCUCAUCUACGCCCCCGUGCUUCCCCUCAGUAAGUUUCGCCAAUUCUGCUCGGCUUUUUUUGUGGUUCAGUCUGUGAUGUUGUUCGUGUUUGACAUCUUGGUUUUUGUGUUUUCUUGGUCAGUUCGGAUCACGCUGCGGAAACAACCGGUUCUAAGGGACCGUCUGUUUAUUGCUGUGUUGGCUGGGGCAUUUGCUCAUGGCACUUAUUUGGUGUAUCCUUUUGUUGAGAUAUCGAAUUAUUGUGAUUGUUAUAAUGUUAUACUUGGUGACAUUCUGCUAAGAAAUUGCUAUGCUUGAUUAAGAAUGCGCCAAGUAUUGAUCUUUGCAUUUGAAUGGUUGAGGAUGUUAGAAGUUGGAAAUGAUUAGUACAUACUAAAUGUUUAUUUAUUUUAGUAUUUUGACUUAGCGAAUUUGGAUUGUUAGGGGAUGCAUUUGCAAUGAGAGGCUGUAGAAUAAGAAGUGUAACUGAACUCAGGGAGAGGUACAACUGCUUUGUUUCAGAUGUUUAAGAGUGUGCGUAAAUGUUAGCACAGAGAGUUGACGAUGUCUGAGUGGAAAAGAGCGUGAUAAAGCAUGUUUCUUUCUGUAGUUGACGCUCGUUGUGUAUAUGUGCUCAUCUGGUUUCUGUCUUACUAAUGAGCGUUGGAAGUUCCGGUAGUAGUUCAUACUUCAUAGGGAAAGGGAGGAUUGAUCUUUAAGAGUGUAUGUAGACAUGCACAGGCAGUUUAUGGUGGCUGAGAGCAGACAGGGAAGAUAAAUACAACUCUUUGUAUAGUUGGGUGAUGUUUUCAUCCGCUUUCUUUAUUUUGUCUCAGUUGUUCAUUAUUUAUCGGGUUUCGUCUGUUGAUGUUUCAUUGGAGGAAUAAGAUGUUAGGACUUAGGGGAAUUUGUUUUAGAUAAUUUGUUUGAAUCACAAGCUCAAAUUUAUAUUGGUAAUAUGGUACUGGAUAUGAGAUUUCAUAGAUAGUAGAGUACCUCAUUUUUUCUUUUCUGCUUGCAAGUUAGAGUUCUUCACUGCAUCCUCUUGUGGUUCCUAGGGAGAAUUAGCAUUCAGUAGUUAUUCUGAAUUAAUCCUUUGAUUUAACCAUGUUUAAGCAAAAGUUUUCAUUCAAAGUAAUACGGUAUCAGAGUUAUGUUCAUGUAAAUUUCUUCUCAAGAAUCUUCCACUGUUAUUAACUUUUUGCAACUCUAUGUCUCGUCUUUUUUUUUCUUUGUAUUCUGUUGUUGAUCCUUAACAGACUUUUUGCAGGACGGAUCUUUUUAAUUGAGAGCAAGUAAAAUUUGCACACAUAGUUGAGAUAUGAGGUAGCGUACAUCUCUUCAACAACUUUGAAUUGUUUUGCGGAUUCUUUGCAGCUCAAUGCUUCAAUGGCUCCCAGAGUAUACUAAUACAAUUUUGAUAUUGUCUCUGGAUGAUUCCUAGAUUAUAUCCAGUUAUUAUUAAGUAUUUACUAGUCCAUUUCUUUUCCUUUUCACUAGCUCUCAACAAGUUUUCAACACUGUUUUACUGAUUACAAUAAGAACACGAUCGAAAUUGUUUUGUUAAUCUCUUUGGUGAUCUUAGUUAUGUAUGUUGAUAUACUGUAGAGGACUUGCAGUCUGCCUUGCCAAACCUUAGCAUACUAUUACUAUUUGGACAGUUAACCCCUUUUAUAACUGAUAGCAGUCUAAUUGAUGCGGAUGUCUAGCAAGAGUUUGUUCUACCGAAAAUCUGUUGGAACACUCUUGCUUCAAGUGAGAUUUUGCCUCUGAUUCUAAGUCCUUCCAAUGCCAAAUAUCUGGCUAGGGUUGGUUGUCACAAGAUGUCGCCAUCAUCAAGUCAUGGACAUUUCAUGAGCUACAUGCAUUCCACAAAAUAGUUGUGAUGCACAUAGGCAUAUUCCGAUAUCGGAUUCUUUCUACGAUUCGAGUCAUGGACAUUUCAUGAGCUAUAUGCAUUCCACAAAAUAGUUGUGAAUCACGUAGGCAUAUUCCGAUAUCGGAUUCUUUCUACGAUUCAGUAUCUCAACCAAGAUCCAAAUAUUCUGUAUCCCACUUGCCACUUGUCCUUCCAUCGAUCCCCACAUCAAAUCCUAACCUCUGAUAAACCCUAGCUCUGGAAAUUCGACUAAAACCCCAAACUCCUAAAGCUUGCAUAGGUCGCUCACUGGAUUAGAGAUUAAUAUAACUAAUUAGGUCACAUCAUUCAUCGUCAGAUCCAAUAUUGAUGCAAAGCAUAGAGAUAUAUAGUGUAUACAAAUCAAUAAUUACAUACUUAAUCAGCUUAAUCACGCAAUUAACUCAAUAAACAAAGGGAAAAUGAAAGCAUAACAUAAAAUUAAUGCCAUCACCAUCUUACACAAGUUCAACCCCUUUAAAUCUACUUUAAUAAAAAAAAAUGAAAAAAUAGAUGAUCUGGGGCUCCCUUCGAUCCGAUCCUAAUUAUCCAGGCGUUAUUGACGCGGCCGGCUCAGAGAUCGGACCGGUUCUUGAAAUCGGAGGCGAGUCUGUUGGCGAUGGAGGAGUGGUACAUGGCGUCGUGAAACGUCUCCGUCUCGAUGGUCUUGAGCCGGAGCUGCUUGGCCUUCUCCUCCGUGAAGCAGCCCGGCGCGAACCGGGAUCGCUGCGGCGGCGGCUUGGACUCCGGUCCGGCCUCGGCCGGCUCGGUGGAUUUGGAGUUGGUGGAGUCAAUGUAGUCCGGUUCAGCGGACCAGCCGAAGAGGGGGCUCCACCACUUGGAGGUGCGGGCCGGGUCGGGCUUGCGGUUGGCGGCGGCGCACGGGGCGGUGAGGGAUGGACGGAAGUGGAUGAGAUUGGUGGCCAUUUUUAGAGAGAGAAAGAGAUGAGAGAGAGAGAGAGAGAGCUUCUUCAAAUGAACGUUUGCGUUGGGGUUGGAGUAAUGUGCCAGUUUGCAGGUUGCGAAUUUAAAGGGGAAGUGUGGGAAAAGUGGAUAAGGACCGACAGUGUUCGUGUUCGUACAAUAAAUAACUCCGGGCACGUGUGAGCAGGGGCCCACUUUGGCUUUUUGAGUUUUGAAUGAACAUUCCUACCGGCUAAUCCGGUCUCCGUUUAGAUUUGGUCUUAGAUGCCUACGGGAUAGUGAAUGGACCGUAAUAGCCUCCUUUUCACUUUUUUUACUUUUUUCUUUUACUGUUGGCCUCUGUGAUCACGGAGUCUUCAAUAUUAUGUACACGGUGUGUAGUUUCACUUAGGGCAUCUCUAAAAAUGGUUGCCAUACCUAAAUUCAUACUUAAAACCCAUAAAAAUUCAUCUCCAACAAUUAAAACUCAUACUCAAUUAUGGGUUCCUACUACACAGACGACCCAAAAUGGGUCGAGUUGCAAGGAGGAAACCCAAAACUGUAGACGCGGGACCCAGAUGGCAACAAAAGGCAGCAGGUGCACGUGAAAGACUGGGUAGCGGCAGGAGCUACACGCGGUGAGCUUGGUCUGUGGAGAACGCGCGCUAAAGACAGAAAAACGGGCAGGCGAGGAGCGCGCGGGAGCGCGAGACGCGCCAAUCACGCGUGAGCGGGAGAUGCACACCUGCGGUUGAACCACGUGAGCUCGCUUCUGACCCUCCAAAGGUCCAAAAACGCUCGGCCCAGAUUGAAUGAUCAUUCAAAUCAUCAGGUCCAGAAAAAAUAGGCCGAAAAUUAAAUAAUUUGAAUGAAAAAAAUUUGGGUAUGAGUAUGGGUUUUGAUAUAAUGGUUGGAGAUGAAAUAUGAGUUUGAAUAGUAAUGGGUUUGGGUAACUCAAAAUAUGGGUAUGGGUUUGAGUAUGACAACCAUUGUUGGAGAUGCCCUUACCUAUGUGGAUAUAAACAGCUAUGAAUAAACCGUGUACUUGUACCGUUAUGUAUACAAGAAUUUUUCGUUCUAGGGUCAGUCUUAUUCUUCAAAUGGGUAGUUUAUAAAUUAAAUUAAAUUAAAUUAUGGUAACAGAAAAAUAGAUGAUGUGUGAUAAAUAAAAUAGCGUGUGCAUAGUAUCAUCAAUCCUCUCGAUUAUUAUAUGAACCAGUCUUCCAUGGACUCGAGUAUAUAUGUAAUUCAUGCAGGGCUUAGUAUAUCCGAGUAUAUGCCAUUGAAUCACUAGCUACUUGAACAAUAUGAAAUUAGUUUUACAAGUUGAAGUAUAAUCUACAAAUUUUCUCCGACGCAUGUACCAUGCUAUCAUUGAAUAUGAUGGAGUACGUCGUCAAACUAUUCUCAAGCGGCAUAACAACCGCCGGUAAAUACAUUUCUCAACCCAGCUAAGACAGCAAGAGAUGAAAAUAUCCCAUGCAGAUGCAGAUGCCAUAUUGAAUAAGUUGUCGUGGACGAUCAUGAAAACCGAAAAAUUGGAGCUUCCCCGAAACCUUGGUCUCGUUCUCUUGACGUUUUCCCCCGACUGACCUUUCCAAGUUUGGAGGAAAGAGGCCAAAGUAUGAUUCAAAAUUGGUACAAAACAGUAGCAUCGUCGAUACAUAAGAGCGAAGAUUCCCCAGAUGCUCUAUGUCGUCCCUGUCCUUCAUUCGUCCGUUUGUCUCCGUCCUAAAACUGCAGAAAGUCGGACGGUAUGUACACGUUCAGAUCAGUCUAUUCAAAAGUCUGAAGAUUCAGAACAUCCUUGGCCCUUGGAUUUUCUGUUGGUGAAUACGACAUGCGCGCACGUUUUUUUGUUCUCUGGUUCAAAAUUCAAAUAUCUCUCUUCGUGUUCGUUUUGGAGCUGUAAAACCUCAAAAUGAAUCCGGCAGAUAAUACAAAGUUACUUCUCGAUCACUGUCGAGGUGGUAGCUAGGGAUCGAACUUUUCAAUUUUGACCGAUGCUAAAUGAGUCAUUGCCACAAGUCCCUCAGCCGCUCAACUUGGAAGCUGAGAACAACGUUGCUUUGUUUUCAACUCUAGUGCAAUGUGGGAUGUCCGCCGAGACUUGACUUGUCUGGAUGGGGAUUUCAUUAGAAGGCCACAAGAUGCAAGGGGCGACCCAAAUAGCUAGGCCUGCAUAGAAUAGAAUGAGGCCCAAAAACAGGUGUCCUUCCAUUAAUUUCCUAGGCCACCAAUAUCACUAGAAAUGUGUAGAAAUUCGGCCCUAGAGGACUAUUUGGGCCCUUCAUGGAUCAUACGAUAUAGAUCAGAUAUAUAUAUUGUAGGCCUUAUUUGAUACUAUAUAGCUCUAUAUAUCCGGACUACUACUCACCUUGUUUCUUUAAGUGAUCCUUGUAUGUUAUUGGCCAUUUAUCUUUGCAUCUCUUAAUCCAGACUUCGGAAUGAUGAAUGGUAAGUCAGUAUGUAUUAGGGAAGAGCUUUCCCAUCGUUCUGUUAUAUCAAGCUGAAUGAAGUUGUACGUACCUCGAUGAAAAAGGAAAGCUAAUCCAGUUGCGAGAAGAAGAUCGAAGUUGUUCAUGGUGAGAAUAGAAACCCUGAGGCAAAUUGUGCGUAACUCGUACAGAGAAUUAGUGCAAUAAUGUGACAGUUAAGUUAAAGCUUGAACAUCAAUGCUAAAGGCAUCACUUGCUUGUUUUGGAAUCACGUACAACUUCGAAAUCUUGACAGAAAGUGUUAACUAAUUGUAUCCCUGUUCAGGUUUUUGAUGAACUCCGCAAGUCACUAAAUCUUCUCUUUCGACCAACUUUGUGUCUAUCAAGCAGUUGUUGCUCCAUCAUAGUUUCCAGUAGUUCAUCACAAAAUAUCAAGGUUGGCUAGACAUGUAUAUAUAUGUCUCAUGUCAUCCAAAUCCAAAACGAAUGUACCACAUGCAUGAAUAGAAGAAUUGCUAUAUACGAACCCAAGCUAUCAGCCAAGCAGUCGAAAGUCAUGCACAGCACAACUAACUGAAGCAUCAGUGUGACGGUGAUGAUCAUGAGUUGCAGUGGUUACAUGCAUGUUGGUUAAUUGAAGAAGCUAACCUAAACUUAUCUCACUGCAUGCAACUUGUGUGGUCCGCUCUCCAAAAUUUCGAGACCACAAUCCCACAUGCAGAGAAAUUUAAGACGUUGAAGAAUUCCUACAGUGACAACUGAUACGACUCCCUCCUCAAGUUGGAAUUAAAGACAUUAAUCUUCUGCAGCAAAGCUUUUGUUAAUUUUUCGGGUCCAUUUCAUAUAGGGUUCGGUUGCUAUAUAUAUUUAUAUGGCAUACAUCAAAUCGUGAGUCGUCCGAUCGUUUAACAAUUUAAAAUUCAAGACGAUUGGACAACUCACGGCUUAAUCUUAAUGUAUGCUAUAUAUAGCAUAGUAGAAAAGUCUUUUCCUAUAAACCUAACAGAAGGGCUUGGCUAAUAUAGUAACCCAGAAUCUCCCCCAUCUCCAAUAAUGCUUCUCAGAUCUUUAUGAAUAUGAAUAUGAAUUAUUAAGGUGGUGGGAGACAUUUAAUCAUUGAUGCCCUCUAUUGGAGCUUUGCAAAGGGUCCAAAGUUAGGUCCCAAAUCGGCAUGUCACUCCUUUUCCUCUAGUUGUUAGUCGCCAUUUCUAGGACCUCUACAGGGCUCCAUGAGCUGACUGGGUUUUGCUUCUUCCAAAUGUCUAGGCCUAUCCCCUUUCACUUUCAGCAACUCAACCACCGACCCAAUUCUCCGUCACUGACCAAGCUUAUGUUGUAAUUUAGCUUACAAGUCAGACUUUAACACUAAUCUAAUUUACCCAACAGUAAACACAAAAGGGGUUAUAGAGAAGCUGUAGUCAUCGCCGGCGACCGUAUCUUUAGCAGCCGGGAUUGGUUUGUGUAACCUAAUUAACCUCCAGACUCGGGGAAACAAAGCAGACCAAUUAUGAUUCAUGUUCAUGAAGAGCUAGCUUUUCUGUGCCAUCAUAGUUUUUAAACUUAUAAAGCCUAACUUAUGAUGGGGGAAGGGGCCUCUACCGCCCUCUAGUACCUAACUGACUUUAAAAUUUACAAGGCAUGAAUCUACGCAAUGCAAUAAACAUGGUCGGCCGCUUCUCAUAAUUGAAAUUCAUUCGAAUCUAGCUAGCUAGCUAGACAUAACUAUAUGCAUGAUCGGUUGUUCCUACCUAGCUAUAGACAAUUAACCUAGCACUGCGCGCUCGCUCUCUUUGAAUUUUAGUACUCAUGCAUGCAUAGUGCACAGUGCCCUUACGGUCAUAUCCCUGCAGCAGAUCCUGCUGCAGAACCUGCAUGCCUCCCCUGCGUAUAUAAUACAUAUACAUACACAAACAUUUCUAACUCUCUACUUUAACAUACACAAAAAUAAGACGAUUGACUAAUUAAUCAUAAUGCUUUUUAAUAUAAAACACAACCUUUUCUAUUGGGGAAGAAAGAAUAGGCUUCAAGAAAGAAAUCAUCUACCCUGAUCAUAAUUUCUUCAAUGACAGAUUGACAGAUGUAAUUACAGGACGUACUACUGCCCGCACACACGUUAAAAUAAGAACGGUCUAUAUUGCAGUCCAUUUUUCCUCAAGAGAUACCAAUCAAGUUUGAAACCCUAGCAUGGAAAUAAUGCAUAUAUGCGAACCUUCAAAUAAUUAAACAGUGGUUGUCCAGAAAAGACUGGUCCAGUUAAAACCCGUGUGCGUACAGAGAUGCAAAGCAAAACUGCGGUACUGGGUUUAGACUCCUUCACGGAAAGACAACCAAAACCCUUUGAAACUUGUUCAAAGCGAACCGCGGACCCAUGAGAUCGAUCAAACUGGGACCAGGGUAGAUACCUCUUUGUGUUCUUUCGACUCAAUUAUCAAACUUAAAUUUUGCCCUAGCUUCUGGCUUUAUCUAUCAAUUCCAAAAGAGAAUCUAAAAACGUACCCUUGUUAAAUUUUGCUUCCCUUUCCUUUUCUGCCUGCUUUGUCCACAUUGAUCUAACAGAUACAACUAUCUUCUACCAUGAAAUCGAUAUGCUGUCAUGGAUGAUGUAAUAUAACAUUUUGGAACAAUUUCGAACACCUAAAGCUAGCUAGAAGUUCAGAAAAAUGCUUCUAAGCUAUCGAUUAAGUUCAACAUUUAGCUAGUUUCUUUAACCCUAAUCUAGAAGUUCAGAAAUAAGUUAGGAGAAUCAAACCUAAAUCUUUUGUUGUUAAUACUUGAACAAGUAAAGCACGUAUUCCAUUAAUUGGAGACGAUUGAUUUGCAUAAAACCACGUACUUAAUUAUACGUAUAAUACAUGUAUUGAAUCUUUGGAACAUAUAUAGUAUCUCACCGAUUCAAUAUACUUCCCUAAGAAAUGGUAGGGCAGGAGUCGAUUUGCCUUUUCUUGAUCACAAUUGAGACAAAACAUGACAAUCGAUCACUUUAAUUUAUUUCUGUGCUGGUCAAAAAUGGGAACCCCGUUAAUCUUUUUGGUAAUCAUCAACAACUUCAUGGAAGCACCAUUAUAUUCAUGAUUUUCACAAUUAAAUUUCGACCUACCACACCCAUCUACCACCUCUUGAUUUUCAAUGGUGUAUGUUCAAUUCCGAUGUCCAAUCCCAAUGGCUGGCGGUAGUGCUUUUCACUUCGUUCAUCGUUAAUCAAUGAGUUUCUUGUUUACUUUCUUAUCAGAGUCAUAGCUAUGUCAAUGACUUCCUUCGAUCACUUGAAAAGAUUUAAAAAACAAAAAACAAAAAGAUUUGUUUCUUUCGCACACUGUGAUGAUCGACAGGAAAUCACAAGGUACCAGACGUGUCGCACAGGCAACGGUGUUAGAGAAUGUUGUAUUAGUUUUGCAACGCUAGGUUUAUACUUUAAACUUUACUUAUAUGUGCCUUCAAAAGUAUCAAAGUGCAAAAUAAAAGAUUUAAAGAGAAAAGUUGAAUCAACGAGUACUCAAAUAAUAUUGCUUUUAUGGUUGGUUGAUGAAGAUGUUGGAGCUGGACUGCUGGAGACUUGGAUCUAGCAAAGCUAACAUCAUAGGGAAAAUGAUUAGUACGUGAAACCUGUGUACCCUAAUACUAAUCAUGUAACACAUGCUUUGAGUACCGGUAAAUAUUGAGUCUUCUACGUACCACAUCGAUUUGGGCAUGUUAUUUCCUGUUUUUCAUCUUUUUAUGUUUUAUAAUAAUUUCUCGUCAUUUUGAUAAUCCAAUUACGAAUUGACAAAUUAUAUGUAUGUUCGUAUUAUGGUAGAGAAAACUUUUCUACUUUAAUUUUCUGCUGAUAUCCUCAUUGGAUGAGUAAGUAAAUAGGAAUCAAGAACUAAGGAUAUAGUAAGAAUAAUUUCUAUUUUUGUAACAGAAUUACAGAACACAAAGAAUCAUUUCCAUAACAAAAUUAGCCGAGUCAAAUAUAUAAGUAUUUUGCUUUUCUCGUUUUAAUUAAUUGAAAACAAUAUUAACAAAAGAAGAAAUUAAUCAAUUGUCUGCUUCAACUUGUAGUGCUCCAUCACUACAGAUCGAUCGCCUAACCAAAUAACCAACAACUAGCUAGCAAGGGUUCAUCAUCAACAACUAGCUAGUCAACCAUUCUAAUUCUAUUUCGUGCGUGCAUGCGUGCGUUGGACUUACCUGGAGAGAAGUGGAGGCAUACGAUGCACCCAUGCAUGUUCCAUAAAUGGUCAUGUUCUUCUUCGUCACCGAUCACGACCCUUAUUUUAGCUAGAGAAAUCGAUAUGGCGGCAGAGAUCUAAGAAUUAAGAACAACAAUCUGGAUCUGCCUGCUACACUUUCUACGUUGAUUCUUACUCAAUAUAGAUAGAUAUCCUUCUUACCAGAACAGGAAACUCAACCACUUCUAUAAUUUUAAGAACAAACAAGUGAAAAUAUAGUCUGUAUGUGGAUAAUUUUAUUUAGUUAGCACAUCUGGACGACUUUGAUUUAAUUUUAUUAAGCAUUUGAUGGCCUGCUUGAAAAAGUAGUCUCAACACGCCUCUGCAUGUGUGGUGAAUUUUCAAGUCUAACACGUGGACAACAUUUGGGGUGACGUGGAGUUGGUGUGUCCGUUCCGAGAAAUUUUUCAAUGCUCCCGAAGGACCACGUGACAAUCUAACGUGGUCCUCCAUUGCCAAUUAAUUUUUGACACGUGGAUUUAUUACAACUAAAAUAUAAACUAAGGUUUUCUAUAUUUUGUGAAAUGAUCGUCUUGGGUUUUUUAUGAGUUCGGCCUAGGGUUUAGGGGUUAGGGUUUAGGGUAUAGGGUUUAGGAUUUAGGGUUUAAAAUAUCAACAAGAAACCCAAAAUGGUCUUUGAAAAAAUCACGAAAAUUGUUUUUCAUCAUGAAAAUUUACAUGUCAAAAUUUAAAUUUGACACGUGGAUUUAUUACAACUAAAAUAUAAACUAAGGUUUUCUAUAUUUUGUGAAAUGAUCGUCUUGGGUUUUUUAUGAGUUCGGCCUAGGGUUUAGGGGUUAGGGGUUAGGGGUUAUGGUUAAGGGUAUAGGGUUUAGGAUUUAGGGUUUAGGGGUUAGAAUUUAAAAUAUUAACAAGAAACUCAAAAUGGUCUUUGACAAAAUCACGAAAAUUGUUUUUCAUCAUGAAAAUUUACAUGUCAAAAUUUAAAUGGAAUUGAGGACCACGUUAGACUGCCACAUGGUCAUUCGGGAGCACUAAAAAAUUCCUCUGGCCGUUACACAUUCACACGUGGACAUGAGUAACCCACUCUAAUAUUAUGGUAAAAUAGUCUGGAGUUCACAUCCAAAACAAAUUGGUAAUGGGUGGAGUGACCCAAACCCUUAUAAACCCACAUAUUUGGAUUGAUAUCUCAACACGCCCCCUCACAUGUGGUGAAAUUUCAAGCCUAACACAUGGACACCAUUUGGGUGACGUGGAGUGUGUGUGACCAUUAGGCUUCACACAUGGAAUGGGUAACCUGCUUUGAUAAAGUAGUCUGAGAUUCAUAUCCAAAACCAAUUGACAAUGGAUAAAGAGACCCAAACCCUUAUAAACCCACAUAUAAGGUCCUAUAUUCCCGAUGUGAGAUUAAUAUCUCAACAUUGGUAUGCCAAUAUGUCAUCGAUGAAUAUACAUACUGGCAUUGCUAAACAAUAUGGAGAAAUGCAUAAUUACAACUUGAGAUAUGUUAAAAAGUCGAUUACAUAUAUCUGUAUCAAAGUUGACGAAAUUAAUCAAUUUUAAUCAAAUCGAUUGAAAAUCUGAAAGUGAUCGAUGCACGCAGACGACAAACUUCCAUGGCCUCCACAUGAGAUGACGAGUAUUUUGGCUGAUAAUGGAGAUUAUUAAACUAAAUCUAGCAUAAUUGUCCACGACAAUUUGGUUUAUUAAUUAGUUAUAUAAAUCUCUACUUGAGUCGUUCGAUUCUUAUAAUAAGCUAGAUCUUAUUAUGGAUGGAUAAGUUCUUAUAUAAUAUAUAAUUGUUGAAUUUGAACCUUUGCACCACAUUAAAAUGAUGAUCUGCAUUCUUUGAUAGAUAAAUAAUCCGAAGUUAUUUUCAUGCAAGUACAAGAAGUUUGAAGAUUCCAGAGGUUUUUGGUAGAGACAUAUCUAACUUCACUGUUUUUAGAAUCUAGGAUAAUCACAUACACAAAACACCAAUUCAUUCCAGUGUAUUGAACCAAAUGACUAAACCAAGUCUGAUAGAUAAUACCGAAGUACUAUUGCUCGGAUGGGCGAGCAGUACUAUUUCUCCAACUCGAUCAUUCUUGUCAUUUCCGUUCAAUUACAUCGAUAGCUUUGGAAACCCUAGCAAAACACAGAAUGAAUAUUUUUUUUUCUAUUAAAAAAUAAUUCUUUGCAUUAUUUUCUGAGAUACUUUUGACAGUCGAUUUUGACUCAUCUAUUCACAAUUAUAUAUAUUAUAAAAAAAAAAUCUGAAUUAUAUAUAGAUGCAUAAGUUCAUCAUAUUGUACUUUGCUUGGACGAGGACAGCACUCUGUUAUAUUGCAUAUAUCCCAAGUUAAUUAUCCUACUCAUCAACGAAAUUAUACUUCUCUAUAUUGUUCUUAGAGCAGUCGUAAAUGGAGUCGCAGGCAUGUUUUCCCAAAUGUAUAGUCACGAGUCACGACUGUUCUUUCUCCUAGUUUUAAACUUAACUGUUUCACCUCAUGGAUUCAACUCAUUCAAGUAAUUGAUAAUUUGACAUAAAUAAAGUUAUAUAUACACAAUUGUCUUCCCGUAUAUAGCUAGUUUCUUGAAAUUUCCAAUAUGUGACUAUAGCAUUGAGACGUUUAACCCAUCGCUCUCUCUAGCAGUUGCUUGGCCUUUGUAGACAUGUCUCUACAUGCAGGUGCGUUGGUUUGUUCUUGCAUUUUUUUUGUUUUCUCUUAUAUAUUCUAACAUUUCAUCUUGGUAAAUUUUUUAAUCGCAGCGGGUAUGCAUGUUUGGUUCCCUUUCUAUGUAGUGAAAGACUGAAAGCAAUGGAUUUCAGACUUCAAUGUAGAGCAGACAUGGAUCUCUUUCCUAAACAAGAGUUUAGAAAAAUAAUGGAAAAAAAAAUACAAGAGGAAGUACUUUUCUACUAUACUAUUUUUUUUAAAACUUUUUAUUAAUAACUCACACACCUUACAUAUAUCAGUGAGAUUUGAACCCAUGACCUCAAAGUUGUCAAUUUAACAUCUUAACCAACCAAGCCACGGCUCACCGACAACUUUUCUACUAUACAUGUGUGUAUAACAUAUAUCAAGCCGUGAGCCGUAUGAUCGUCUUGAAUUUUAAAUUGCUAAAUGAUCGGACAACUCACAGCUUGAUGUAUGUCAUACAAAUGUGUAUAACAGCCAAACCCCAAGAGCAAACUUUGUAAUCUUGCCCAUUUGUUCUGCGUCCAUAGGCCUUUUCACUAGUAGUUAUUGACAAAGUCACAAAACCAUAGUUGGUGUAUUUUUUUUUUUCAAUCAAAAACGUAAAAGGUGAAUGUAGUGAUAAACUUUUGUAUCUUACAUUUAUCAUAUGGUUUCACAGCACUUUCAUCAUUUCGUGCAAAUUCGAUAGAAAUUAUAAACUCUACGUACAUAUGAGCGUAGAAAAUAAAGUUACAAUUCAUUUAAAAUUUGCAUUAAACAUUGUCGCAUUUUCUAUCGAACAUGCAAAACAAUUGUCGAUAACAAAGCUACAAAUGCAUCUACACAUGUUUUUUCUUUUAUUAAAUCCCUCAAUUCACCCCUCUUAUAUAUAUUAAGUGAUAUUUGAACUCAUAAUAUCUGUUAAGCUAGCUAACCAACAGAUUACGACUCACCAAAAACUCUUAAGUAGUCUACUAGUCUUACGACACGAAACUUCCUUUUGGCCCUAAAAUGGUUAUGUCACCCCCGUCCUCCGUUACAACAACCUUAGCCCAUAGAAAGCCUCAUUAAUCAUGCAAACCUUACGUCACCUCCAUCCUACACUCACACAAUUACCUCCUUUGCCACCCCGACUUUCAACUCUCAAUUGUUUAUUGGACGGCCAAGGGCAUUCGGCGAUGCAGACAAAAGUUCACAAAACUCUAAAUCAUAGGGUCAAAACAGUAAAAACACCAGCAAAAGACCUCUAUAUAUUAGAGUAUUAGACACCCGGGUCCGAUAUCGAAACCAACCGUAAAAAGCCAUGUCUAUGUUGGCACCGAGCUCAGACGUAUAGCCGAGCCCGAACCAAACUAUAAGAUCCCCCGUAUUAUUAUAUAUAUAGCAAAAUUAAAAUAUUUCAAGGACUCUCUAGGAGAGACCAAGCACCUUAUUUAUAGCGAUCUCUUUUUUUUGAUACGUAUUUAUAGCGAUCUCUGGGGGCUUUAAACCCCAGUGGAGGCACAGCUAGCCCUCUCUUGUUUCUCUAAACUCAAAGGCUAGCUAGAAACAACAAUCCCAAGAGACAAAAACCAAGUUUGCAAUGGCGUUCAGUGGUGUUUCAAUGUGCGGCCAAGAACAGCUGGACUUGUCUAGAGACGGCAGCCACUACAGCCUCUCCACCGGAAUACUGCCCUCUCUCGGCGCUAGGUCUAGUAACCGGAGAGUCAAGCUCGGCCGGUUUAUAGUCUCGCCGUACGACCGGCGUUACAGGUACGCCUUUGUUUUCAAUCCGAACACUUACGUCGAGAAAGGAAUCCAUUUAUAUUUGGUUUGUUAUUAAGUAUUUUUCUAUGUAGUAAUAUAUUUCAAGGUUGGCUGCAUAAUUGGUUUGACUACACUAGUUUACUGGGAUUAAUUUUUAAUGGUUUCCUCUUCUUCUGGGUUUGUGUUUUCGGAGAAGAACGGCAUUGAAAACUCGGUGACCGUUUUGCAUGCUUUCGUGGUUAUACUGAAAGCGUUACAACUGGUGUUUCGUUUUUCUGUGGUCAUAUUUGUCUUCUUCUUUUCGUUUUGUUGGAGUUACAGUCUCUUUGUUACUCUGCGUUCUUGUUGAUUCUUCUUCCAUUGUUAUCGUUUUCCGGCGAGGAAAGACGACGUUGAAUCUUGAGGGUUGCCUUUUUCAGUGAUCAAAAUUCAAAAGGAUUCAUUUGUUUCUGCUUUUGCCUUUUGCAGAUUUUAAUUUAUUUUUCUUUAAAGGUGUACGUGUUAAUGCUCUGUGAUAAACGUACGUGGUGCUUAAUAAAAAGCAUUUCACUGUAAAAUUCUAGGGGUCAAAAGUUUCAUUCUUGCAUUUCUUUGGAUUCAGGGUUUGCUUUUCAUAUGAGAUUCCAGGUCUGUGACUGCUAUUCCAAACUGAAACUGACAUAUCGAAUUUGGCACUUAUAUGACAUUCUGAUUUCUUGUUUGGCUUCGAAAUAAAAGAAAAGGGUUUUUCAAGUCAGAGGUGGAGGCCUCAAAUCACUCUUUUUGACUUGAAUGGAAAGCAAUCAGCUCGGUUUCAUUUGUUGAUUUCUUGGCAAAUUCUGAAUUAGAUGCAAAAGGAAACGAAGUCAAGUUUCGUUUCGGCUUGUCAGCGAACCAUGACAUGAUGAUUUGAAUUCUGCAUUAGUUAACACCUGUACCUAUGUUCUGUGAGUAAAAUGGAAGUCUCUUAUUGCUAAAAUCGGCUCAGAUUGAAUUGUUUCUUGCAGGAUUUGGGAGACAUUUCUUGUUGUUCUGGUCAUCUACACUGCUUGGGUCUCCCCCUUCGAAUUUGGCUUUCUUAAGAAACCACAAGGACCCCUCGCCAUUAUUGACAACAUUGUCAAUGGCUUCUUUGCUAUAGAUAUUGUUCUUACAUUCUUUGUGGCUUACCUGGAUAAGGCUACAUAUCUACUUGUUGACGAUCAAAAGCAGAUUGCUUGGAAGUACGCAAGUACUUGGUUGAUCUUUGAUGUCAUUUCCACAAUUCCUUCUGAACUUGCUAGGAAGAUCUCCCCUAAACCUUUCAGGUCUUAUGGCUUUUUCAACAUGCUCCGGCUUUGGCGUCUUAGAAGAGUUAGUGCUCUAUUUUCCAGGUACAGGGUUUUCUUAAAUGUAUCUGCGGAUUGGAAAGUGCAUAUUUCCUGUGUACUAAUUGUGCAUGAUUCUGUUUUAACAGAUUGGAGAAAGAUAGGAACUAUAACUACUUUUGGGUUCGUUGUGCAAAGCUUAUUUGUGUAAGUAAUUCUGAUGGUUUUGGGGUUGUUAUACUGAAGAAAUUGCAAUUCUUAUGCAGUGCCAUCUUAAUGGGAUUCGGAUGAUCUUUCUGUAGGUCACCCUUUUUGCGGUUCACAGUGCUGGAUGCUUCUAUUACCUUCUUGCAGCGCGUUACCGCGACCCCAGUAACACCUGGAUUGGAAAAUCAAUGGAAGACUUUCUUCAUCAAAGUAUAUGGAUUCGAUACGUGACUUCAGUUUAUUGGUCUAUCACUACACUCACAACAGUUGGCUAUGGAGAUUUGCAUCCUGUCAAUACAAGGGAGAUGAUCUUUGACAUAUUCUACAUGCUUUUCAACCUUGGAUUGACAUCAUACUUGAUUGGAAAUAUGACCAACUUGGUUGUCCAUGGGACUAGUCGAACACGAAAAUUUGUUAGUAAACUCAAUUGCUUUCUUUUUAGAUUUGGUAGAAGAAAAUAAACAAAAUGUGAACUCACAGUUCAUCAUUUUUUCACAGAGGGAUACCAUACAAGCUGCCUCCAGUUUUGCACAGAGGAACCAACUGCCUGUUCGCCUGCAGGAUCAAAUGCUUGCUCAUUUGUGUCUGAAGUUCAGGACAGAUGCAGAGGGACUCCAGCAACAAGAGACUCUUGAUUCACUUCCUAAAGCCAUCCGCUCAAGUAUCUCACAUUAUCUGUUUUACUCUCUUGUCGAUAAGGUGUACUUGUUUCGUGGGGUUUCAAAUGACUUGCUUUUUCAGUUGGUAAGUUCAAACCGUUCUACAAAUUUCCAUUGAAUGCCCGUCUUACAGUGAACUUUUUAAUAUGUUCUGUUAGAUGUUCAGCUGAUUCUUCUUUUUUCCCUUCUCAAUCCAAAGGUCUCAGAGAUGAAAGCCGAGUACUUUCCUCCCAAAGAAGACAUAAUAUUGCAGAAUGAAGCACCUACAGAUUUCUACAUACUUGUAACUGGUGCUGCGGUAAUAAUUGAUCUUUUGUUUUCCUUUCAAUUUCACAGGCAUUAUUCGCUUUCCUGCUCAUUCUAUUAUAGUUUACUUUCUGAAUAAUGUACUUAUUGUUUGAAUUUCUUAACAGGAUUUAGUGGUACUCAAGAAUGGAGCUGAACAGGUAAACUCCAAUCUGAUCAUGAUGAACAUGUUUCUACCUUUUAAUAGAUUUGGCUUCCUUGAUGGUGAGGAGUCUGACUUUCUAUUUUAACUAAUUGCAGGUCAUUGGUGAGGCAAAAACUGGUGAUCUCAUUGGUGAAAUUGGGGUACUUUGUUAUAGGCCACAGCUCUUUACAGUAAGGACCAAAAGAUUGAGUCAGCUACUCCGGCUCAACAGAACCAAAUUUUUAAGCAUAGUGCAAGCUAAUGUUGGAGAUGGAACUAUAAUAAUGAAUAACCUCCUCGAGGUUUGUUAACAUGAUAUAACCUCUUAAAAUUUCCUUGGUUUAUAUUUUGAAAGGAUUUUGACAUGCUACACUUUCUCAAUGGGGCAGCGUUUGAAAGAGACGUCCAAGGAUCCAUAUAUGGAGGGAGUUUUGUUGGAGACUGAGAACAUGCUAGCUCGUGGUAGAUUGGAUCUACCUCUCAGUCUAUGCUUUGCAGCAAUGAGAGGAGAUGACUUGCUGUUGCAUCAGUUGUUGAGACGGGGUUUGGAUCCGAAUGAAUCCGACAACAAUGGAAGAACAGCUCUGGUAUGUGAAAUCUUCUGCUACUGAUUUUACUUUUUCUUACUACGCAAUAUUCUGAAUAUGAUUUUCUAACAUUAGCUUUCACAUUUACUGUGUAAAACCAGCAUAUAGCUGCAUCCCAAGGAAGUGAGAACUGUGUGCUUCUACUAUUGGACUAUGGAGCACUUCCUAACAGUAGAGGUAAGACCAAGGGCUAUUAUAGUUAAGUUAAACCAUCAUUAUUGACUUCAUCAGUAAGAAGGUUGAUCAUAUUAUAUGCAUUUGGUUUAAUAAAUUCAUAUAUUAAACACAAGAGAUGUUAUCAAUUUAGAGAACUUUGCCUUGUAGUGAACUAGUCCAGUUUGUGGACUUGGGAUGUUGCUUGCAUCAGUUGCAUGGUUUUUUUUUUUAAGAGUCCAAUAAGAUACAUAAUUUAAAACUAUUUCAUUGGUAUGAAAUUCCAGAACAGAUUCAGUUUUUCUUAGUCAUGUUGCAGGCUUGCAGCUGUGAUUAUUCAUACAUUUCUUUUAGUGCAUUUUCUUAUUGUGUGUGGGAUCCAAGUCCCAAGUGUUGACCAUUGGGAAUUGGCCUAACUUGAUUACCUGAUUUUGUUCCCUUCUCAUACAUGACUCUAGUUUUUCUUUCCCUUAAGAGUAAGUUAGCAUAUCAUGUCUGUUGAGUGUUGACUUUCCUAAUCAGACUACCAACUAUAUCACUCAAUUAUUUGCUUCAUUAUGUUAAUUUUAUUAUAGUAUACUAGAUCAUAGUCGUCAUCAUCAUAUAUGUUAGAAAAACCAGUUGACUUGAUAACAUGAUCCAAAAACAGCUUCUUCAUGCCUUUUAAUACACAUGAGUGCGCGGGAGGCAUGCAUCUGUGCCUCACUUCUUGCUUGGUUAGUAAUAUAAAGCCUGUUUGAGUCUCCUGGGGAUCUGGCAUGGUUAUCUCAUCCCAGUUUAUUUAGUAUUAUCUUAAGAUGGAAUCCCCCGUCCUCUAUAUUUUAUCACAACAUGCAAGCAAGAUUGCAAGGAUGAAAGAUACAUCUUCAUAGGGAAAGCUUUCAUGUUACUUCUUGAUUGUGAUUCAAUCUCGUGGUUGUGCAAAUAGAUCUUUGUGUAAGAACUAAGCUUUGUGACAUGAUUUUCCUACACUGCCGACUUAUAAGUUGUUAAUUCGUAUUGUUUAGGGUGAAAUAAGUCGAUGCAUAAUGCCUUCUGUUGUUGAAAGAGUUGCUUAUCUAUGUUGACCACAUGAAAUCGAUUGCAAUGCUAACAUGAACUGAUGAACAUGUAAUGUUUCCACUUGCUGGAGAUUGAACAAAGAACUUAACUGUGUUCUAUGAUUUACAGACUCGGAGGGAAAUGUACCACUGUGGGAGGCGAUACAGAAGGAUCAUGAAACGAUUGCGAAAUUGCUCGUAGACAAUGGUGCAACUUUGAAUGCUGGGGAUGUUGGUCAUUUCGCUUGCAUUGCUACUGAGGAAAACAGGUUGGACUUGCUCAAAGAAAUAGUUCGACAUGGAGGUGAUGUCACAACUCCUAGAGGCAAUGGAACCACGGCUCUCCAUGUCGCAGUGUCCGAAGACAACAUUGAAAUUGUGAAAUUCCUUGUGGAAAAGGGGGCUGAUAUCGACAAGCCAGACCUCCAUGGCUGGACUGCAAGAACUCUAGCUGACCAGCAAGGACAUGAAGAGAUAAAAAGCCUUUUUCAAUCGAGAAAAGAGACCAAAGAUCAAUCUGUUAUAAGCAUUCCUACUGAGCAAAAGACUGGAAUUCGCUUCCUUGGGAGAUUUACAAGUGAGCCAAACAUCCAUCCUGCCUCCCAGGAAGGCUCAUUUAUAGUACCAGAUGGGGGAUCAUUGGGUCGAAGCCGCCCAAGGCGUAGGACUAACAACUUUCAUAACUCACUUUUCGGGAUGAUGUCAGCUGCACACACAGGGGAGAAGGAUUUGUUCUUCUCUGUCAGGAAAACCACCGAAACCACUCCUAAGGGUACUGGGAAUAAUCCUAACCCUGCUAGAGUGACAAUUAGUUGCCCUGAAAAGGGUGAAGUUUCAGGGAAACUUGUAUUACUUCCUGACAGUUUUGAGGAGUUACUGGAGGUUGGUGCCAAGAAAUUUGGUCUCACUCCGGCUAAAGUUCUGUGCAAAGAUGGAGGAGCUGAAAUCGACGAUAUAGAGGUGAUUAGAGACGGUGAUCAUCUUAUUUUUGUCAGUGGCCAAGAUGAAUCAGAACCUCAAGAAUGUAAUGGAGAAGAUACUCCAACUAAAAAAGAUGUGUAGUACAUGCAUAGGAAGUCCAUAUUUGAAUCUCUCUUCCUACGCUUGGAUGUGCAAAAACCAUUCUUACAGCAAAUGUACGUAGUUUUGUCCCAAGAGAAAACUUCUUGGCGACAAUCACCCCAGUAAAGUCGUUGUACUAAUCUGAACUCUUUACCGACAACAUAUUCCACGACGGUUGUUUUAGAGGUGUCAUGGUCAGCCCAAAUGUACCAUUGCCACGGGCUUGGCAACACUGCUCAACUGAAGUUGUGUAAAGUGUAAAUAUCUCCAACUUUGUUCCUGCUACGAAAUUACAUUUCAGAUGAUACACUAUAAUGUACAACUAUGUAAAAAUUAAAGCAGUAGAACGAGCUACGCCUCAAAAUUGUACAACUAGUUUGAGGCUUGAAUAUCAUUUUCCAGAUUUUGACGAGACCAACACAAUUUACAGCCUUGCGGUUACUAUAGGACACUUCUCUCCCAAAAACGUCAUUUAUGACCACUGUUGGUCAGUUUCCUAGAGCAGGAUGACAUUUUAAUGAAUACAAGUGAGACUAUCCUUUCCCUUGUAUGCUCCUUUAUAAUGUUUUUUUUUUUUGGAGAGAUGUUCCUUUAUAAUGUUACUCUUACCAAGCAUAAGUAUACAUCAGGGAUGUCAAAUUCUGAUACAUUAAACACUCGAAAGGCAAUUUGAAACUCCUCGUCUAUCACUACAGUAACUUGAGCAUUUUCAGACGCUCUUCAUGUUCAGGAUCCAACUUUGGUGGGGUAUAACAACCAUGAAGAUCCUCCACUACGUACUCCUGCAAAACGUUGAAAUUAUAAGAACUCUUCGUUUUCUGAAUGAUACAUUAUCCAAAAUAGUUUUCAGAUUAUAAGAAUAUACUUCUAAGUUCAUGGAAAACUAAUCACUGUGUGCAACUAACCUUUGUGAGUUCCUUUUUGGUCAGGAUAUGGUAAUGUCUCUGCCAGAUUCUCUGAAUAGCCAUAGUAGCAGCCAGGAAACCAUAAGCUAUGCCAAGAAUAGCAAAGAUGACAACAAAAACAAUAACCAGGGCAAAGCAUGCCUCCAUAGACGCAGGGAAACAAUCCAAUAUUCCCCAUCCAUAACAACAGUUCUGGCAGCCAGCCAUCCGUGGGUCAUUGCUAUUGAAAGAUGAACAGUGUACUAUAAGCCCAAAAAAUCCAAGCAGCACAAAAAAGGCAAUGACACCUGGUAACAAGUGCAUAAAGCAGCAAUUCAGUACAAGUCAAUAGCUGCAAGAGAUUAAGAACAAAUGCAAAAUCAUAACCCUUCUCAUACAAAACUACUAGAAACAGAACCUUGACACUGCUGAUGAGUAAUACAGCUGACAAUUAGCUUCCACAGAUUCGAGUAUUAAUAAGGAUGAAAUGCAAAAGGAAGAGAAGUGCUUGUGCAUGAGAGGGUUUGCCAUAAGCAUUAGGUGGCAGUAGCACAAAGAAUCAUGGACAUUAAGGUCUUGAGAACACAGUUAUUGUUAAUAGUACUCAGCAAUAUCCAAAAUAUUACUUCAAACACAGGGGUUGUUGUAUGCGUAUGGAAAGAAACUAAUAUCAUGAUUGUUUCUUGUCAGAAACCCCUACUUCCCCUCAAGAUCUACCAGUCUGCCACUUAUGAUGCAGAAUAUGAAGUAUAACAAUUUCCUUUAAUAUGAUUAUUUCUGAUAAAUAAGCAUUUAGAACAUAAACAACUCAACCCUGAUUGGUUAAUUAGAUACUAGAGACUUGUGAGCUCCACAUUAUUGACACAUUUCAAUGAAGCAAGGAAAACUACACCACAUUAUUUUUAAACAACAGUUUUUAGGUGUAAGAGUUUACCUAUGCAAUAGUAAAAUGGUAUAGGGUGCUUUGACAAGAUACGAUCCCAACCAUCACUGAACGAAUUCCUGAAGCCACCAUCUUUGUCCAUCAGAUAUGCAAAGCCACCAAUUGCGGCAAUUACCUGGAAAGUAAAGAAGAAUGCUUAUCGUAAGAAUCUUGACAGUAUAUGGAAGUAAUAGAUUGAUACAAUCCAGUAUAAACCAUUUCAUGUAACAUAAUGCAAAAGACUAUCACUUACUGUUUGUACAGCCACAAAUACAAGUAUAACAUCCCUUGCCACAAAAAUUCUGAAUUUCAUUUUACGCCAAGUGUUGUCCUCAUACGAUUCAACUCGAAGAUGAAAUUGGGCUUUGCAAGUGGUGCAGUGCGAGAAAGCAAAUCCUUCCUAGAAAGAGAAAAGGCGAAGUUCCGGGGGAAUUAAGUUCAGGCAAUUACAACAUUGAAUUGCCAGUGACAAAAGAGUCACAAAAUGACAUACUCUAAAGAGAAAGGUUAUUUACCUUAACCGAGCGCCAGUGAUCAAGACAGGAUAUGUGCACAAACUGCUGGGUGCCUUUGCACAAGCACGGCGAUAUCAACUCAUCACCUGUAAAAUUACAAAGGUCGAAAGUAAGCAAUAAAACCUUUGCAUCUGCCUACGAAGCAACGAGUGCUAGAGAUACACAUAACCAUUAACCACAGUAUACAUGAAACUUCUAUUCAACCCUGAAUUCAGCUAAACUUAAUACCUACAAAGAAUCUUAUAUCCAACAAACAUAUAAAACAUAACCAGAAUCACACUCAUUUCUGCCCUUAUAUCUUCGGAUACAACACGAUGUAAUGUUUCACCAACAAAACAAACACAAUAACAGCAUGAUCAGACCAAAAUGCCACAUCUUUAAAACCCGAAAAAUUCAACCUGCAUCGGAAUCGCUUUCGAGGCAAAUGCGACAACAAGCAACAGAGGAGCCAUUCUCAAUGUCUUCAUUUCUAAUCUCACUGGAGCUCGCCGGAGCCGACGACUCGUCGUCGUCGUCGUGGCUGCUCUGUAGCAGAGGGUCCAAGUCACUAGGAUCAUUCGGUUCCCGUUCCCCUACUACUACUGGUUCCAGCUGCACUUCCCGAUUCAUUGAUCAAACCCUAAAAUAAACCCCCAAAAUCACCGAUCAAAAACCUUCAAAUUAUACAGAAAUUUCUCACAGAACAAAAUUGAAUUUGAAAAUUGAAUGAUCAAUUAAACUUGAUUUUUGUUUUAAUUUCAGAAAUUAAAAAAAGUAGUACCUGGAGUUGUGCAGAGAAACGAUGAAUGGAGAAAAUCGGAGACAGGAGAAUUGAGGAAGACGAAGAUUGAGAAAAGAGCGAUACUUCCUAUACGACGUGCCGUCCGCGCCUUUGUUAAUCAUUGGCAUAUUUUACUAUAUUGGGCAAGUAGGAUGGGCCUUAUUGUUGGAGGAUGUUGGGCCUCUCGACCCAACUCGGUCUCCUGGUAUCCCGCCAAAACUCCUACUCGAGUCAGGAAAACGACGUCUUAAGCUCAGAAUGGCCUCCAAUCCAUAAAACGAAGUUUCUCAUAGCUAUGGCCAAACCAGCUCAGUAUGCCACGUCGUUUAUAACACGUCACUAAUUAAUGAUUUCUCUAAUCGUGAUCUUGAGCAUUCUUAAUUUAGAUCGGUCACAUUCAUGAAUUACAUUCUUAAUUUAGUUUCUUACUCGAGUCAUAAUUAGUCUACCUGAAUUUGUAUCGUAAAUCUUAUCUGAAUCUAUAUCCUACAAUUUAUUCUUUAUGAUUUACUUAUGAUUCUAUGUCCUUUUCUAUAUUCUAUAUCCUAUUUAUAUAUAUUCUUUUUGAAAUUUUUGAGAAGAGAAGCUUGUCGAGGGAGAUUUCUUGAGUUGAUUGCAAGCUUAAUUAAACGAUAAUAAUAUACAGAAAAGGUUCGUUGGAUUCAAUGAAAGGUGGUGAUAUCCCAAAAGAAUUGUUAGUUGAAAUCCUUUGUCGACUGCCGAGCGCUGAAGCUGCUUGUCAAUGUAAGCUUGUUUCAAAGAGUUGGUGCACUCUCAUAUCGAAGCCUUACUUCAUUGGACGCUUUCUGUGGAUCCAAAGAGCGAGAAAAGCAAACCGCAGUGCUUGGUACUAUAAUAAACGAAUUUGGGGAUGCACUCCUUGCCACAGAACUGACAGAAGUAGUGUUCAGUGUUCACGGCCCAGGAGGCCAGGAGGGUGUGGUUUUCAAGUUUUGACAUGUUUUCCAAUAUAGGGUAGCAUAUAUAUUGAGCUCAAUAUGAUUCAAAAUAACGCUAAAACAGUGUUUUGUAUCUGCUUUUUUAUUCAUUACAGAUUGAGAAUUUAGCAUUUGAUGAAAUGAUUCCUGGCAUAUGUCUCUGCCAUCUACUCAUGCAUGCCCUUCUCCUAGUUCUAUUUCAAUUACACAUCUGCAGCUGCCCUCUAGCAUUACAGAAAUCCUCAGAUGGUUCCAGUAUUCACAAGCACAAAUUGAAGCAGGGCAAGGACGUGUUGAAUACGGCGGACCAUAUAUACUAGUCUGGGGUGACUCUGGUCCCUUUGCUAUAUGGAAUGCCUCUAAAGUCUAAAGUCAUGGCCUGAGUCUUUGGCCUUUAUGACUGCUUCCUACUACUCACUUUCAACGGACCCAUGCAUGCCUAUAAUUUCUACGUUCCCAGUUCAAUUCCAGACAUGAUUGAUUUCUCUACUGCAACAGCAUGGACGUCGACAUUGACACAGACAUUAUUGGAUAUUAAUUCGUGCCUCAUUUCAAAUCCUGGAAAUAAGCUCAUGAAAAAGCUCGAGCUCUAUAACCUUCCUAUAUAUUUUCCAAGAUGAAUAUAUAAUCUCAACCAUGUGCUGAUCAUCAUACUAAAGAAUAAUAAUCUCUCAACCAACUCGAUUAUGAUAUAUUACGCAAAUUAAUAUCGAAUUUGAAUUAUUUGUUAAUAUUAAAGAGUUUGAACAUCAACGUUUCAUGAGUUUGAAUUCUAUAUAUGAUUACCAAACAUAAGUUGACCAGAAGCUUCCAAGGAGGCUGAGGCAGUAUCCAGGUAACUUCAGUUCGUGAAGGCCUAUGAAAAGUAUAUAUCAUACAACUAGAGUGCACGCAUCUAUUUGUAUACACGAAAAUAUGAAAAUGACAUAAUCUGCUUCUUCGUUGAAGAUAAAAAUUCUCUAUCUGUAGAUUAAUAAACGUACAAGUGCCAAUUCCAAAAGCAUUUCUAGAAUGUGUAAUUACAUAUUACAUUGACAAGAAAAAAAACUAACACAUUUUCACCGCGCGCCAUGGAUCGGCUCCAGCUAGCUGUCUUCUGUUGAUGAAUAUAUGAUACACAGUCCAAACCCAAUAAAUCACACCCUGCAUACAAUACAUAUAUAUGAAAAAAUCGAAUAUUUGAUCAUAUUAGGUGAAACUCAAUGAAGGUGAGGUGAUCAAUCAAUUAAAUUAGCUUACUGUUGGAACUCAAUGUUGACGGAAGUAGCCGAUGAGUUGGCAAUAGCAGCGAAAGCCGUCUGCGACAACACCAUGGUGGUGCCGGCCGCAGAAGGCUGUGAAGUAACGCUGGCAGCAUACUCCACAAUCCUGAUCUGAAUGGUCUUGUCCGGAACACACGUCCCCGUUUGAGCUGCGCUAAUGCAUCUCACCAAGUACUGCCUCCCACAUGACGCUCCGUUGUCCCAUAUUCCAUCUCCGGCCGCCGCAAACAAGUUACUUGACGGAAACUGUGACGAGUCGCUUCCAUAACAGUCGGUGGCUAAAAGGGAACAAUAUUUGUGAUAAGGGUAAUGUCCAUAAGAACAUAAAUGGUUCACAUGAAGAUGGGUAAAGAUGUAACUUACGUAAAUAUGGGGGAGCAUACUGAGCAGCAGUGCCAACGUCGGCGUUUGAUGUUUGGAAAAGCUGUGGAAAUAAGAGCACGAGGAGUAAUGAAAGGUAAGGCAGAUAUUGUGGAUGAGUUGUGAUCAUCUUUUUCUCUGCAGAAAAGGGUGUUUGAGAUUUGGAAGAUAAGCUCUGGGAUGCAAGGAGAUUUUUGUAUUCUAUAUUAUUCCAAGUCAACGAAAAUUGGGUAUCAUUUUUAUCUAGAAUUGACGGCUAGGCCAACUCAUAACGCGGGUUCGGCAGUUAAACGUAAGCCACAUGGUAUGAACUCUAUCUAGAACUCAUCUAACACGUUUACUUUUUGUUUCUGGUGUGUCGUAGACUACUGUAAUAUUCGACUCAUAAUAGACUAAUUGUUACAUAAACGAGUAGACUAUUGUAAUGUUCGACUCACAAUAGACUAAUUGUUACAUAAACGAGUUGGUAUCCGUUACCUAAGCAAGAAAGGUCUGAAAAUCUAGAUCAGAUGAUCUAAUCAAUGAAUUGAUAACCAUUACUUAAGCAGGAAAGGUCUGAAGAUCUAGAUAAGAUGAUCUAAUUCGGUGAGGGGAUUGGAGUAUAGCUACGUCAUGCUUUGCUUCCUAUGAGGGUCACAGUUAUAUAAUUACAAUAUAAACUGCAAAAUUCAAUGAUCCUCCACCGAAUAAAUAUGACUUUUGCAGUUCAUAAUUCAAUGCCUUCUCCAUUCAUGAUCCAACUAACCAGAUCACAUUUGACAUUUUCCAAUGAUUGCGGUAUCCAGAAGUUCACCAGAGGAGGAAAGUGAAUUUGAAGCUUAAUAUGGUGUAGACAUACACAAGUCUAAACACUGAAAUUUGUACCAAAAGGAUCCCAAACAAACAAAGGAGCUUUGGUGCGUUUACAACAGUUAAAAAACGCAGAGUAAAGCAGUAAUAAGCGUCCGCGUAAGAACAUCUCACUUCCACAGCUUGCGCAGGGACAUGUUCUUCUCAGUCUCCUUCUUCAUAACCUUGGCAACUGCCAUCUCAAAGUCUUCUUGGGUUACAUGCACUCUCCUCUCCCUCAGUGCAAACAUUCCUGCUUCAGUACAUACAGCCUGCGAGAAGGAAAACAAGAUAACAUGGUUAGAUCUUAUAUGUCCAGACAAAAUACCAACUUCCUAAUGACUCCCCCAGUAAGAAGAAAACACAACAUUACCUUCAACUCAGCACCAGAUGCGCCAUUCAUUUUCUCGGCAAUCUUCUUCAGGUCUAUUCCACGCAUUAAAUUCAUUCUUCUUGAAUGGAUUUUCAGGAUGUCCCAACGAGACUCUUCGUUAGGGUUGGGAAAUUCAAUUUUCCUGUCUAUGCGUCCUGGCCUCAGCAGGGCUUGAUCCAAAAUAUCAAUACGAUUUGUAGCCAUCAAAACCUGAGAUAUAAUGGUGGUGGUUAGAAUGAAGGAUAAAAUUUAGAAAGGUGAAUGUCAUAAUUUUCGAAAGCCACAUGAUGCAUCGUGUACCUUGAUUUUGUUUGAGGCCUCAAAUCCAUCCAGUUGAUUAAGAAGCUCAAGCAUAGUCCGCUGCACCUCACUGUCACCAUUGCCACUGCCAGAUUCCAUACGAGCAGAUCCAAUACUAUCGAUUUCAUCCAUAAAGAUGAUAGAUGGAGCAUGUUCCCUGUAUGAAUGUAGAAGUAAAAAAGUGAGAAAACGGUAGAUGAUAUAAUGUGAAGAAUGUUAAGGGCUGAAGAGCAGCAAAUUAUUAAUUGAUUAAAGAUCCUAUCCACAAAUCAUCUUAAAGAAAGGUUGUUAUAUUUAUUUUAGAAUGGGUCUGAGUAAAUGGCCAUUCUUGAUUCUUCUUUGUGGGGCAGCAACGGACAUAGACGUAGAGAAACAUCCCUAAUUCUAUCCAGAUCAGCAUAGAUUGAUCAUACUAGGAGUACUAUACAAUACAAAUUGCAAUAGAAAGCUUAUUCAACAAAUUAGAGCCCCAUUAUAAAACUCUAGGAUCUACUGUAGUUCAUUUAAAAAGCAAACAGAAUUCAGAAACCAAGCAGCAUUAUUCACAUGCCAACAAUGCAAACAUAUGGAAGAGUAGGAUGAUUAACAAUAGAUCAACACAAACCUGGCCAUGACGAAAAGUUCUCUAACCAUUCGGGAACCUUCCCCAAUGUAUUUCUGAACCAACUCUGAACCAGAGACCCUGAUGAAAGUACAGUCGGUAUGAUGAGCCACAGCCCUAGCCAACAAGGUUUUUCCAGUGCCGGGGGGACCAUAAAGCAGGACUCCCUGUUGAAUCAAACAAAGAGUGCCAUAGGAUUAGUGACUACGGGUAAGCAAAUAAUAAAAAAAAACCAAUAAAUUGAAAACGUAAUUAUACCUUUGGCUGAGCUAUUCCAAGACUUUCGAACAAUUCAGGAUGUUUAAUUGGAAGUUCAAUGACCUGCAAAAAUGAACAUAUAUCAUUUAGACAAGUUGAAGAAUGUCCUGAGUAUUAUCACAUAGAGACAAGCCACACUCGACAAAUACAGCUAGCAGAGAAUCUAAAUUCAAGCCAAAUUUGAAACACGGACUGACGUUGACCAGUGAAUCUUCUUCCUCAAGAAGGAUACAAUCUUAUCACCUACUAGAAGAGCUCUUAGUUAUCUAAGUAAUGUAACAUCUAUAAGAAGAUAAGUAACAGUUGGAAUAUGAAAACAACUUAAUCCUUCUAAUAACAUAUAAACCAAAAUGCAGUUCAAAGAAAAGAAAAUAAGUCAAAGUUGAACUCUGGAAGAGAGAUGCUGUCAAGAUAUUGAUGCAUAUGGGAUUGUGGAUUAAAUGAAAAGAGGGGGGAGAAGAAUAAGAAAGAUAAAGGCAAAACUGAAAAGGGUAUGCCUGCAAGUUAUGUUUAAUCUGAUCUUUUAUAUUCAUCCAGACAAUUUUUGUAAGAAUGAAGACAUGACAAGUAAUUAGAUAUAUGAGUUUAGCUUAUACCAUGAGACCUAUACAGGUAGAUAACCGGAAAUGAAAGCCAGGUGGCAUAACAGUACAAAAGUAAUACAACAAAAACGCAAACUAAAAUAGACACAAGUAUCGUGCAAAGAAUCUAAAUUCAAGAGUAAGAAUGUGCAGAAGAAAACCUCUUUGAUUUCUUUAAUCUGCUGAUCCAGACCACCAAUCAUAUCAUAUGUAGAAUCUGGAACCUUCUCCACUUUCAUCAGAUUGACAAGAGGAUCAACUUUGCUUGGCAGUACUAAAUGAAGAACAUAGCUGUCAUUGCGGAGAGCCACACGUGUAGAUGGUGUGAUCUUUGUAAUAUCAAUGUUCUUAUCGAUAUCAACCACAUAUUUCCCUUCCGGAUGAACCUGAAAACAAAGCAGGUCAAAAAUUUGUCAGAUGUUGUUAUCGACUUGCAGACAGAAUGUUAACUAUUUCACUGUUUGUUAAAACACACAGCCACUUACCUUAACCAAAACCUUGUUCUUUCCCAUGACGUUGACAACCUCACCGACAUAGGACCCAGGCUCCUGAAGAAGCUGCAGUUCUUCCCUGAGCAUUCUCACUGUUCAAAACACAUAAACAAUCAAUCCAAUAACUCAGUUAAGUAACACACUAACAUACCAAAUUAAGCAAAAUCUAUAUAACCAAAGAUCCCAAAAGGUACAACAUCUUCUAGAAUAAUUCUAGUGCACUUGUUUACUCAUCUUGUUCACCAAGAUUUACACUUUACCCCGAAAUCAAAUAUUUGCCCUAAUUUUAUCCCAACAGAAAGCAGAAGCCAGCACCUUUUCACAUUCAAUCAACAAUUGCUAAGAACCCCAUCAAACUAUAUCAGCUAGCCCUAAACCCAAACCAAACUAAACCUAAAAUUACCCUAAAUUGAGAACCCAGUACCAAUCGGAACAAACCCUAACCAGUCCAAUUGAAAUUCCUAUAACCAAUAACCAGUUACUAGGGUUAGGGAUUCGAAAAAUUGAAUUCCCAAUUGGAAUUAGAGCCUCACCUCUGGAAUUGAGCUCGUUACGCUGAGCCUCGAGUCGAUUGAGAUUGUGGGUCUUCUGGCGGACCUGGAGCUGGAGCUCGUGAAUGUGUUGGAGGUAGUACGGCCGGAGCCCAUCGCCGAGUUUGGAGGCGGCGAGCUUGGACGAGCAGGUCUCCUCCGGCACGGCAUCGAUGGGCUUGGUCUCGGCGGCGACUGCAGCCAUCGUGAUCAAGCAAAGCCCUAAACUUUGGAAUCGGAAUUUGUGAGAUUGGCGAUUUGGGGGUGUGAGGAGUUUGAGAGAAGAGAGAUGUCGUGUGUGUCGUUUUGAGUUGGAAAACAAAGGUGAGGGGAGGUGUGUUUUAUUUAUGGGGGAGGGUUUCUUUUUGGUUAAGUUAGCUUUGUAAGGGUAGGAGAUGGAUUAGAGGAUAAUGGGCACAUAUUAGGAAUUACUGCAAAUUUUAGGAUUUCUGUUCUUUUGUUUAAAUUGAAUUGCUAUUUUCUUAAGGAAGUUGCAAACAUGGAAUCCUUGUUGUGAGAUUAGUUAUUGGGGGGACAAUAAAAAUGAUAAUAUUUCAAAGGAAAAUACUUGUGUCCGGACUAGUAUAUACGUGCGUGUCCGGACUCUCUGUUAUUUACACACUUUUGGUAAUGUAAAUCAUAAUCUUAAGUGUUCAAAAAUUUGAUUAACUAAUAAAUAUCAUCUCUGUAAAAUAUCAGUGUAAAAAAAAUCGUUUGCUUAGCCGAAUGAAUCAAAUAAAUUGACGGCUAAUCAUGAGGCUGUUAACUUUCACCAUAAGUAUUCAUUUGUUUAAUACAAUCGGGUGAGCAAACGAAUUUUGUUUACAUUAAUUUUUCACAGAGAUAAUCUUUAUUGGUUAAUCCAACUUUCGAACUGUUAAAAUUAUGAUUUACAUUGUCGAAAGUAUGUAAAUAACAGAGAAUCCGGAUGUACACGUACAUACUAGUCCACAAGUAUUUUUCUAUUUCAAAUUAGUGACACUCAAGAGACGAGGGAGAUUACUAGUUGACGAGGUUUAAGGUGAUAGUUUCAUGUGUCUCAUCUUAGAUUUCGACUAAGUUUCAUUAUUAUUCUCAAUGUUCACAGCUUUUAAAUUGCAUAUAGCUUUAAUAUGUGAAUCAUACACAUUUUCUAGUGUGUCGAUUGGUGAACAACACUCUUACAGAUUUCAUUAAAGAAUCGUUGCUCAUUUCAUUAUAGAAUAACAUGUAUCACUUCUCUUUGAAUCAUUUCGACUGUCGGCAUAAGUUUCAUUCUUUUUACAUGCUUCACAAUAAUAGUAUGAACAAGUAGACAAUUUAAGAGACCUGAACUGAAGGAGUUUGGGCUGCAUUGGACUACCUAAGAAAGCCCAUUGUUCAAUAGAAGGAAGGCCCAAGAGUGGAGCCUAUAUAAUUGAGAGCAUUGCCAAACAUGGUCUUUGCGCCUAGCCCUCUGUGUGAGUCUGUUCCUCUUUUUAACAUUUUUCUUUUAGAUUUCCAAAUUAGGUUUUCUCCUCUCUCUCUGUAAUUUCUCCUCACUAUUAGAUUUUGAUUCCACCAUUGUUGUUUUGAGGGUUAGGAGGUGUGGAUUUGUGUUUCAAACUCCUUAUUGAUAUUUCGUCUUCCCACCUGUUUCCAAAUACCGCCAAAUUUUUCUAUCUCCGCAUAAAAAAAUCCCCAAAUUGAGAAGAACAAAAGCUUUGAUUUUUAGGGCAAUCUAACACAAUUAGGGUUAGGGUUUCAAUCUCAUAAGUACAGAUCACGAAAAAGAAAGCAUCUUUUUUUAGUUUUUGUUUUUGGGCUUUCGAUUAGAUAUGGAGAAGAAGAAGGUGGCUGUGCCUCUGGUUUGCCACGGCCAUUCCCGGCCGGUGGUGGAUCUGUUUUACAGUCCGGUCACUCCCGAUGGCUUCUUCCUCAUCAGUGCCAGCAAGGGUAUGUGUUCCGAUAUCGAAAGAUUCGAUCUUUUUUCGUGUGUUUGGAUUGAAUUACAUGCUUUGGGUGGUUCUAUUUUACUCUGUACAAUGCUGCGUAUAUGUAUAUGUGUAUGAUUGGGGUUUUGUUUCGUGAUAACUUAUGUAGAUUGGUUUGAAAUCGUAAUGGAGGGAUGUUUUGACUAGUCUUUGUGAUAGUAAGUUAUGGUAGAUUAAGUAAACUUGCAAUGGGAUAUGUUCUUAGGAUAUAUAGUCCAGCUGAAAGGAAAUGUUUUGGAUCAGUGGUUUCAUGUCACGUUUAGAAACCUUAGAGCUACUAGAAGUUGAACAUUUAUUGCACUAUCAGUGUACUCAACAGUAGUGAUUUUGGGAUAUUGACGAAUAAGGUGUAUUGAGUAUAUGAGGUGUUAAGAUCAUUGUUGUGUUGUUGCUCUUUAAUGGGUUGCGAUUGGAAAUCUUCUUUAAUCUGUGUAAGUUAUUUAGAUAGCGAACUGAUAUAGAAGUUUUUGAUGCUUGUGUUGUUAGAUUCUAGUCCCAUGCUGAGAAAUGGUGAGACUGGAGAUUGGAUUGGAACCUUCGAAGGACAUAAGGGUGCAGUCUGGAGCUGCUGUUUGGAUACUAAUGCCCUAAGGGCUGCCACCGCUUCCGCAGAUUUCUCUGCGUAUGGAUUUAUCUUUUGAUUUCCCAGAUUUCUCUGCGAGUUGAAAAUGAAAACCUUAAUUCUGUUUCUUAAGUAUGUUAUUUUUGCAUGCAGUAAAGUUUGGGAUGCGUUAACAGGAGAUGUUCUACACUCUUUUGAACAUAAGCACAUUGUUCGAGCAUGUGCGUUUUCAGAGGUAAGCUCCUGUUCUUGACCUAACAGCUCUGUAGAAGUGAAAUAAACUUACAGAGUAAUCAUACAAACUGUGCUCUUUCCAUUUUCUGUAGUGUUAUCUGCUUGAAAUGUCAUGCUAAAUGUGAUAAUGUUGAAUAUUAUGUGUAAUCGACUGUGUUAAAUUCAUUUGGAGUAGCUAUCUGCCUACCUCUAAUUUGAAAAUGAUUUCCUAGUGGUUUAUGUGCUAUAUUAAGAGGGAUUCUAAUAUAGUGGUAGACUUUGAAUAUUUCUUUGGGGCUUAGUUGUUUGUUACACAUCAGCCACUAAAGUUCAUGAUAAUAUUUUGAAUCCAUCAUAGUUGGUGCAGGUUUUAAUUUCAACAGUAUAUGAGAUUUUAUGCUGGAGUUCUCCUAUAUGCCAUGCCUUUUCUUAUUUUCUUGUAUCAUAAUUCUAUUCUCUUGAUUUGGUAAUAGGAUACACACCUUUUGUUAACUGGAGGAGUAGAGAAAGUUAUCCGUAUAUACGACUUGAACAGACCAGAUGCCCCUCCAAGAGAAGUGGACAAAUCCCCUGGUUCAGUUAGAACUGCUGCAUGGCUCCACAGUGAUCAGACCAUAUUAAGUUCUUGCACUGAUAUGGGCGGUGUCAGGUAUACAUUUAUAUGAAAAUAAUUGAUGUUAUGAGGACUCAAUUGUUCUAUAUUAAGUUGCACAUAUUUCGUACUAUAAAGUGACGGGUAGUGAUUGACUGAUUGGUGAAUGUGCAGAUUGUGGGAUGUAAGAACUGGGAAAAUAGUUCAAACACUUGAUACCAAGUCAUCUGUAACAAGCUCUGAAGUCAGUCAAGAUGGUCGAUACAUCACCACUGCUGAUGGGUCUACAGUCAAGUUCUGGGAUGCAAAUUAGUAAGUUAUGAGUUAGAAUGUUCAGUAUUUUUCAGAGUUUCUGCUCAGUUAGCUUAUGCCUUUUACUUGCUUUCAGCUUUGGGUUGGUGAAGAGCUACAACAUGCCUUGCACAGUAGAAUCAGUGUCCCUGGAACCCAAGUUUGGGAAUAAGUUCAUUGCUGGUGGAGAAGACAUGUGGGUUCAUGUUUUCGAUUUCCAUACUGGUGAUGAGAUCGGUAAGUAAACUAUAACAAAAUACUUUUCUUAUUGAAUCUUCUUUGGGGUGGAUGUUGUGUGUUAAUGUCCUUGGAUUUUAUGCUGUAUUUCCAAUGCUGAAUCUUUACUCAAGCUAUUGUAUCUUGAUGCAGCCUGCAACAAGGGUCACCACGGUCCAGUGCACUGCGUUCGAUUUUCUCCAGGAGGAGAGUCCUACGCCUCUGGGUCCGAAGACGGCACCAUCCGAAUAUGGCAGACAGGCCCUUUGACUAAUGAAGAAAGUGAGGCGCAGGCAGCAAAUGGAGCUAUCGGAAAGGUGAAGCCACCCGUGGAAGAGGUCUCUCGAAAGAUUGAGGGCUUCCAAAUCUCCGACGAGGGCAAGUCCAAAGAGAAGGAAGAGGCACCGUCAGCAGCCACAGCAUCGGUGAAUGUGUGACUUUGUUCAGAGUGUCUGUCCAGAGAGUGUAUUAGCCGUUGCCCGGCACAAGUUCAGAUCUAUUCCUGGUUAAAGUACUACUUGGGUUACAUAGACAGAUGGAAACAAAUUUUUUGUACAACUUUCACUUCUGCAUUGUCGAGAUAUAUAGACUAUGUUCUUGUUACUGCUUGUUCAGACUACCUUAUAAAUGGAACUUUUCAGCUUCUUCUGGUUUAUAUUUCCUUCUAAGAAUAUGGAUCAUAACAUAUCAACAUAGCCUAAAAAUCAAUCCUUAAUUCCUAACUAGCUGACAAAGGAAGAGCAGAAUGCCAUGCUUGAAAUUAGGAUUGUAGUCUCAUUUGUGACAAUCCUAUGUGUUCAUAAUUUAAAGUUGGGCAAAUGUCAAUUUAGUACUAAUUUUAAUCAUUCAUUGUCAAAGUUGGGCAAAUGUCAAUUUAGUACUAUUCCAACGACAAUAUGUUUUAUGAGCCUAUUUGAAACCUUUUUAUGCUUAAAUAGUCAAAUUUUUAUUAAAGUCUAUUAGACUAUUUUAACAAAUUAUAUUAUUUUGAGACUAUAUUACUUCCACCGCUUAAACAUGCAUUGAGAGAAAAGACUUCACCGGAACCUCAGACUUUGGCAACUGGCCACCAGACUCCUGUCAUCGGAAUUUCUCCGGUCACCGGUAACUUGGUUACUAACCCCAGUAACUUGAUUACUGAUCCCCAAUAACUCAUAUAUUUCCCAGUCGCCGGAUUUCGGUCAUCGUAACUCGGUUACUGACCCCUAAUAAUUAGUUAGUGACGGCCUUGAACUAUUACAAUGUCACAAGUGGUUUUUUAGUAUCUUCUAAUACCUCAAUUACCAAUUAUCUUAAAAAUAAAAUCGUUUACAUCCCACCAAACUGGGAAACAUGGAAGAAGAAAUUUAUGUCCAUAGCCACUAGCUUUGUGAUAUCACACACUACAAUCACGUAUAUAUACCCACAAAAUGAGCUUCGCAUUGGGAUAUUGUCACCUACAUGUUGUGACUUGUGACUUGUGUGGAACUGUUUCGGCAUGACCACUUCCCUCUUUCAUACCCUGCCUUCUACUUUGGAUACCAUCAUAAGGCGAAACCAAAAAUUUUAAUCGAAGGGAGCUAAUGUUAGCUUGUGCUGUCAAGUUCAUCAUUUCAUAUAAAGCUUAAUUUUCUACAACCAUGACUUCGAUGACUCUAACUCUAUGAAUGUGUAGCUGUUUUAAUUUUUAUAUAUUUGUAUUUUGAAGAGAUAAUUAGCUGUUUUUGAAAGCUAUACUAUGGAGAUUGUGAGGUCGCUGCAACCAAUUUUCUGGGCAAAAGGUUCUUAAACUGCCUUUCCGCUUCAAGUCAUUUAGGCCAUUUGCUGAGGUGCACUUAUUCUAAACUAAUACUAUAUUAAUCAUUGGAGCUCAGUUUAAAUUCAUUAGAAUGUAUAUGGCUCUCUUUGUAAACCAAACAUUCACAAGUAACAAUUUUACGAUCAACAUUGUCAUGUGGUGGUUCAGGUCAAUAACAACACUGACAUGAGACUCGUACUAGAAGAUGGAUGGAUCGGCUUCAUUCUCAAUUUUCAUGCCAUAUACAUGCAAAUGCAUUUUAAGGUUGUUAGCCAUAGCUAGUACUGCACUACAAUAAUUGAUAUAGCUACCUGAUAACAGCAAAGCCACUGUGGAAUACAUCGUGUUUCCAAUUGGGUCAGAUUAUCAGUCACUACUGAACACGUUUAAUUUGCAUCUUUCGCCCAUUUCCUCACCAAUUCAGGAGACUUGACUUGUUUACAUCGUUUUGAGAAAUUAAAAUGUUUCUCACGCUCGCACAUAAAACAAGAUUCAUGUCAUAUCGAUUUACUGUAGGAGAUGAAUAUCAAAUAGUCGAUGGAUUCAUUGAACUAUUUGACGACUCGAUUUUCAUGACACAUAUAUGCAUGUGGCGGUCGCUAGUACUUGUACCUUUCUUGGUCUGGCUUAUUGAGCUCUUGUAGACAUUUUACUAUAAAUACCAAAGAAACGGAAGCAUUUCAACUCAUACUACUACCCAGCCACUUAAUCAAACCUCUCAUAUAAUUUAGCCACAUUGAACUAUGUCUCUCACCUCCGUCAUUUUAGCUUCCCAAUCCCCUCAAACCCUGAAUAAUGCCGAUACUCGACGUUCGGCUAAAUACCAUCCCAGUAUUUGGGGAGAUCGGUUUCUGUCUUAUAACAACACUAUGGUUUGUACAUCCUCGACAUUUAGCAUACAUCUGUUACAUUUUGUUAUCUGCAUGUCUGAGCCUUAUCGAUGUAUGUAUUAAUUUGUUUCUUUAACUGGCUUGUAUGUAGGAAACUAACAUGCAAGGUAAGCAACAAGUAAUCCAACAACUGAAGGAAGAAGUGAAGAGGAUGCUGAUGGCUCCGCCGGUUGAAACUGGUUUGGGAAAACUGGAGUUGAUUGAUGACAUUCAACGCUUAGGCGUGUCUUACCACUUCGAAUACGAGAUUGACCAAACUAUGCAGCAAAUUCACGAAAACCUUAAUGGCACCUAUGAUGAUGAUGACUUGCACACUUGUGCUCUUCGUUUUCGCUUGCUAAGGCAGCAUGGUUAUAAUGUUUCUUGUGGUAAUUGAGAUCUCGACAAUCCUAUUCAUUCAUUUUAUUUUGUUUUAAAUAAGGCUAAUUUUGAUGCAUUGGCAUAUGAAUAAUUAAGCAGAUAUGUUCAACAAGUUCAAAGAUUGUGAUGGGAAAUUCGACGAAUCGCUUCACCACGAUGUAGCAGGACUCCAAAGCUUGUACGAAGCCACACAUCUUAGGGUGCGAGGAGAGGAUUUUCUAGAAGAAGCACUAGCCUUCACAACCACACAUCUACAGUCGGCAGCAAAUCGUUUGAGCCCCCCGCUUUCGAAACAAGUAAGGCAUGCCUUGAAUCAGCCACUUCGGAAGGGCUUACCGAGGCUAGAAGCGAGGCACUACAUGUCUCUUCACCAGGAACUGCAUGGAUCACGUAACCAUGUUUUGCUGAGAUUUGCAAAGCUGGAUUUCAACCUGCUCCAACAAGUGCAUCAGAAAGAACUAAGUGAUAUUGCAAGGUUGAUACUAUCUGUUACCACACACAUUAGAUAGGCACCAGACAUGAAAAUUAACGUUACAUUUUUUCUCCAAUUAAUUAGAUAAAUAUGUGUGAUCAUCACUAAUUAUGUGAUUCAUCAGGUGGUGGAAGAAGUUGGACUUUGCUAGCAAGCUUCCUUUUGCAAGAGACAGAGUGAUUGAGUGCUACUUCUGGAUUUUGGGUGUCUACUUUGAACCCAAGUAUUACUUUGCUAGGAGAACCCUUACCAAAGUUAUUGCCAUGACAUCCAUUAUUGAUGACAUUUACGAUGUGUAUGGCACUCUUGAAGAACUAGAUCUCUUUACUAGAGCAAUUGAGAGGUUUGAAAUUGAUAUAUAUUUUUCUUCCCUUAUAUUAUAUUCUCAAUUUAUUCCGGACUUAAGCUUCACCACUUACCAUCGCCGUUCGUCUUCUUAUUUGCAGAUGGGACAUCUCAGCCAUGGAUGUACUGCCGGAGUAUAUGAAAUUCUGUUACGAGGCACUCUUAGAUGUUUAUGCUGAAGCAGAACAGGGGCUUGCAAGCGAGGGAAAAUCAUACCGUAUCGAUUAUGCAAAAGAAGCGGUAAUUAGUUAAUUAAGCCUCAAUUUUGCGUUUAGUAUUGUGAUUCCAAAGGUCGUUGAAGGUUAAGUAACAGUUGAUUUGCUGCAUAUAUGUCAUAGAUGAAGAGACAAGUUAGGGCAUACCAUGCUGAAGCCAAAUGGUUCCACAACAACUACACACCAACAAUGGACGAAUACAUGGAAGUAGCCCUCGUCACUUCAGCCUACUCAAUGCUAGCAACCACAUCCUUUGUUGGAAUGGGAGAUAUUGUUACUAAAGACUCUUUCGAGUGGAUCUUCAGUGACCCUAAGAUGGUAAAGGCUUCAGCAGUAGUUUGCAGACUCAUGGAUGACAUUGUAUCCCACAAGGUACUUGAAUUUGCUGCAGUAGAAAUUAUAUAUCUUAAAACACUUCCUUAGCUAAUUCUGACCUUAAUGUUCUUGGCAUGGCUAUACAGUUUGAGCAAAAGAGAGGACAUGUUGCUUCGGCCGUGGAAUGCUACAUGAUACAAUACGGUGCGACAGAAGAAGAAACCAUAAUCGAAUUUCGAAAACAAGUGAGUGAUGCAUGGAAGGACAUAAAUGAAGAGUGCCUCCACCCUACCUCUGUCAACAUGCCUCUCUUGAUGCGAGUUCUGAAUCUCACACGCGUGAUAGAUGUACUGUACAAGUCUGAAGAUGGCUACACUCAUGCUGGAACCAUACUCAAAGAUUUUGUAGCAUCUCUACUGGUAGAUCCUGUGACUGUAUAAGUGAAAACUGGGAACCUUUGUUUUAGUUCUUACAAGAUGUUUGAACUUAGUAUUGGAGUUGCAGGAGUGUAAUGUCAAAAGCAAUCCUUGUAAUCCCAACCUUUGUACGUUGGGAUCUAAUAUGUGGGUCUUAUUUUUUCAGUUGCAACUUUGAUAGUUCAUCUAAUAACGGAAAAGAAAUUCAAAGUCAUUUUGAUAAAGUAGUCUGGGGUUCACAUCCAAAACCAAUUGGCCAUGGGUGGAGUGGCCUAAACCCUUAUAAAUUCACAGGCAAGGUCCCAUAUUCCCGAUGUGGGAUUCAUAUCUCAACACAUUUUCUUUGAAUACGAACCUUUGACUUUGACAGAACAAUACGAACUCGAGCUUGUCCACGCUGAAAUCCUCCGUUGUCCACCUGCAAAACUCAAGUUAUUUUUCAUGUGUGGACUUAUUGUUGUCAGCAUGUACUUUUUCUGAGUUGGUCUUGAUUAAGUUCAUUUGGAAAUGGAAAAAUAGAAUAAGAGAUUCCGUGUAAGCAUAAGAGCUUAUGGACCACCAAAGCAUACUAGGAUAUGUAGUAAUUGGUUUUGAAUAAGAACUUAACAAGUGAGAAUAGAUAUGGAUAUGGAUCUUAGUAAAUAAACUAGACAAUAGAUCCAGCCGCGCCCUGCUGUGAUUCAAUAAUUCGAUUACUUCGGUCACUGGUUCAUAAAGAGUUCAUUCGAAAUUGUGUUUACUUUUGUUUACCUUUCCUAUACAAAUUUCAUCUACUGAUAUCCGUAGGAAAAACAGACUUGUUAGAAUCUAAAAUUAAGAUUCUCAAAAUGACUGGAGAGACUGUACCACAUGUCAAUGAAAUAAACAACUCAAAUCUCAUCAAAACCAUUUAAAUCAAGGCCAUGUUAGUCUCUUAAAAAAGAAUUUGAUCACUUGUCUUGCUAUUUGUUUAUAUGUUGAAGCAAAAUUUACGAUUAAGUUACGAAUGCUUAUCUAAGACCCUAAAACAUGGUUACUGCCAACACAAACUAACAUAUUCAAAAGAGCAUAUCAAAUGGUAGCUGCACAUUAGAAUUUGAGGGCUGAUCUACUUGUAAAUUUCAGUUCACUAAGUAUUCAAAUCCCUAGUAUUUUGGAAAAAUGCAUCUGAAAAGCCAAGAAUAAAAACCUAUCAAAAAACUUGAUAGAAGGAGAGGGCAAUGACCUCAAAAUAAGGGUAGAAUCCCACUCUCACCAUUGACUGAACUCUUGGGAUAGUAGAUUCUCACUGAGCUUUCUACUUUGUGACUGCUACUCCAUAUUCAACCUCCAUUCUGCAAAUUCAUGAGCGACUUUCAUAUGUUCUUGCUGCAGAGAAUAAUUGAGUUUAUAGUUAAAAUCAGAGUGACCAAGAAGUCGAUAAGGACAACAUAAUAAUUUUCUAAUGAAAAAAGGAUGUUUACCUUAGCAUUUUACUCUCAGAGGGAUCCUUUUCCUCCAUAAUUUGGAGAAGACCUUGCCACCAAACCAGCUCAGUUGCCAUUAGCUACAGUAACAGAAUCACAUUCCAAUGCUCCCAAUUCUAAGCAGAUGUUAAUGGAUAAAAGCAGUCGUCCACCAGCACUGACAAACAUGCAUACAAAUAGAAUAAGGGCAAGAAAAAAAAAGUCAAACAGCGAAUUCCAGCCAUCACAUUCUUAAACUCCCUUUUAACAAAAUGACCACCUUUUCCCCUCAAUCAAUACCUAAGACCAAAAUCAUGUAAUUUUCUACGGUAUGUGAUACCACCACAAAACAUAAAUCUAAAUACCUUGAUGUCAAUAUAAGCUACUGUUCAAUAAAUGAGGCUGCAGCUGCCAACCGAAAUAGAACCAACCACACAGCAAGUAGCAUACCAACAAAUACUACAAUCACAGGCACACAAAUUAAAAAUUCAUAAAACAUAAAUAUCCUUUAGGUAACCAAACAUGAAAUACAAAUGUCACAAAACAGAGAUUUAGGAUCAUUGCCAGAAACAAAAAUCAUGUAAAAAACAAUCACAGAACACAACUUGCAGACAGAAUACCAACACAUACAACAGAUGGAUCGCAUCUUUUAGGAUCCUCAACAUGUAUAACCCAAUUUAUCAUUACCCAGAAACAAAAAGCGUCACUGCACCGUACCACCACAACAGUUAAUAGCUACAAAAACCUUUAGGUUCUAAUAAGCCAAUUUUGUUCUCAAUAGACAAUUAGAACAUGACGUCGCUAUGCUUCCAUAGUUCCAAAUGCAUAAAGUAUGCCAGGAGAACAUCCCAACUUGAAUUUUGUGGCCACAAAAUUUAGCGAAGAGAAAAAACUGCUAGCUUUCUAUAUACACACACACAACAUCAGGUUAUGCAUAUAAUCGCUUGCCAAUCAAAAAUUGUAGAAGAAAUUUUGCUAAAAUUGUAAGGAGGUGUGUAUGCCUUAGUAUAAUAAGGAACCCGACACACUUGACCAUAAAGCAUAAGCUCACAUCAGAUUCCAGAAACGCAAACAAUCCAUUGACAGAACAAUUGUUAUAUAAAUGUACAAAGAUAUCACCCACUGCUGAAAAGAUAACAACUGAACUUUGGUAUUAUAUUCAAUAUUUGAAUGUACUGGCAACUUCACAUGCAUCCCAUCUCUUUUCAUUUCAUUGUUAACCUUUAAUUUCCUACAAACCAUGAAACCAUAACGAAAGCAUGGAUGGUAGCAAAAUAACUUAUUGAUGAGCACCGAAGAUCAGAUGCUCACCACGAUUUAUCUAGCUUAUCGAAGAAGUACAAACCUUCCAGAUCAGUAAUACACACAUAGAAGAAUAACUCCACAAAAUUUCAAGUCAAAACGGAUUCUUACAUCCUAAUCAAACUCGAGUUCAAAACAGCAACACUGCAUAACAUAGACACAAUUUCAGCAUAGAGCACUCAACUUCAGAAAAUCACUACAAAGCGCCUACCCUAUCAAAUAGUAUCAAACUUUCUAGAUCAAGAGUUCACAUAUGGAAGAAAAAGAGUACAAAGUUUCAGAGCAAAUGGAGUCCUAAAUCUUGAUCAAAAUCAGACUCAAAAACAGCUGCACACAUAACACGAAUACAAUUUCAAACAUGUGAACAAAGUACAAUGAAGAAAGAUGUAUACACUGUUCCUUGUCCAACCCAUUUUGCCCCGCAGCAUAAUAGGAAAGCCAUGUGCAGUACUUUUUAGUUUGGAUAAGUUUAUGCCACACAUCAUAAUCCUUUUAUUUUAAGGAUCCUCUUCAUCGAUGUAGAAUCAUGUAUCAAUUCAAUCCAAUUCGAUCAAUUCAAUCUUAUUAGUGUUUAACAUGCAUCCACAUCCACAUCAAAGCCAAAAAUUGAAACCUUGAAAUGAAUAAUGAACCCCUCCUCUUCAUUGAUGUAGAAUCGUUGAGCUUCUGAAGCUCAUAACCUGCAAAAUCACCUUGUUCUUGUUGCCAAACCCAAAUUAAUUUUCAUCAGUCCCUCUCUAUCAGUAAGACACCGUAGUGGAAAGAAAAACAGUCGCACAGUGCGACGAAAAAUAGUAUGUUAAAUCCUCAUUGGACUAAUUGGAUAUGGUCAACUUAACCUUUUGGAUCAGAAUACAAAUAGAACACAAAAACCAUGGGUCGGUGGUAUUGUAAAUUGAAAGAAAAUAGAGGGGUAUAUAAGUCAAAGUGGGGGUGAAUAAGUACCCAAUGUAUCUAACCAUCCAUCCAUCCAAACCAUUAUUUUUUCUCUCUCUAAAAAUAUCUGGUUUUCUCUCUCUAGAGAGGUCUCUGUAAAUCGUCUGAAUCAAAAAGAUCAAAUCUUUGGGUUUAGUUUUUUUUUUUUUUUUCGCGGGAAGAGAUGUCAGGUAAAGGCGCCAAGGGUUUGAUUCAUGGCAAAGGAGCCAGCAACAGCAAAGAUAAGGACAAGAAGAAACCCACCUCCCGAUCCUCACGAGCUGGCCUUCAGGUGAUUACCUUUGCUUCUUUGUUCUUGUUUUUUCUUGAUUUUGGGAUUUUAGGGUUUCGAAUUUGAUUGUUGAGGUUGAGUUUGGGGGGUUUAAUUUGGUAAAGAUUGGAACUUUUUUUGGUUUUGGUAUUGGGUUUUGGUUUGUUUUGGUGAUGAGAAAGCGAAUUAGAAUACCCACAUGGGUUUGGGAACUUAAAAGAUUUAGUUUUUACGGAUGAAUAAUAGUUGUUGAAUUGAGAGUUGAUUUGGAUCGUUUUGGAAGGGCAUGAUUUUGUGUUUUUUCCUUAAACCAUGUUUGUUAGGAGAACCAUAAUCCGAUUGAAGAGUUUGAACUUGAUAGAGAUUUGAUAGAUAGAUACAUUGGAGGGGUGAAUUUUGAAGUUUGAAGUGUCUCGCUCCUCUGGAACAUGCUCUAUUCUAGAUUGUUGUUUACAUUAUGAAUUUUCAGGGUAUAACUGUUUCGAUAAGAUUGUGGAUGUCUAGAAGACUAGAAUAGACUAUGCUUGCUCUAUGUGUCUUGGUAAACAUGAUUGAGUCUUCCUACUCAUAGUAAACAGUUUAAAGUUUCUAAAAGUCCUACCUGAAUCUGUUAGAGAAGUACCAGCUAUACAAUAGAAAUAAUUUCGGUAUAUGAUGUUGAUUACAUAAGUUGUUGGAAUGAUGAUAAACCUACUUAUUUAUAUGAUGUUAGAGACGGAGGAUCCUAAUUAGAUACCUGCAAUCUCCCAAUUAUUAACUUUCAUGAAUAGACUCUCUAGUGGUGAGGGAACGAAGGGUUUGAAUGUAAGAAAGUAGAAACUUCUUAAGACUUUCAUUUAAAAACAUAGCUUCAGCCGUAUGUUAUGAACUUCCAAAGUGUUUCUCUGUCUCACUUUUUGUCCAUUAUUUUCAAGUCAGUUUAUGGACUAUACUAGAGUUGUUGAAUUUCUGCCAUCUACUAAUUCUGUGGUGACAAAUUUCUAGUUCCCGGUGGGUCGUAUCCACCGUCUCCUGAAGCAAAGGACCACAGCUAAUGGGAGAGUGGGAGCGACUGCUGCAGUUUAUUCUGCAGCUAUCUUGGAGUAUCUAACUGCUGAAGUUUUAGAGUUGGCAGGCAAUGCCAGCAAAGAUCUGAAGGUGAAGCGUAUCACUCCCAGGCAUUUGCAGCUUGCAAUCCGUGGUGACGAAGAACUUGAUACUCUGAUAAAAGGUACCAUUGCUGGUGGAGGUGUCAUCCCUCACAUUCACAAGUCACUUAUCAACAAGUCCACCAAGGAGUAAUGAUGAGGGCCAAAAUUCUAUGAGGAGACUCUCCUUUGUGACUUAGGAUCAUGUGUUUUAGUAAUUCGUUAUUUUGCUAGUUAAUUUUCAUGUCUGAUAGUAUUUGUAAUGGAUAAUGGGAUCAGAAACUCUUCUUUUUUAUUAUUAAUCUAGGCUUACUCUAGGAACCCUGUCAUAAUGUCGUAUUGCAUCCCUGGUAUUAAAGGCGUGUUUGAGCUACAAUUGUUGUUUUUCUACCAUUCUAUUUUACAUGAAUUCAGUUGAUGAUGGCAUAACUGCUCUCAAUCGAAGAUGCGGUUCUUUUUAUGCUGCAAGGUGAAAGGUCUAUCUUCAUGUUAUUGACAUAUGUUUACUCGAGUAGUUUCCAUGAAUCAUCAACAGCAGUCAUUUGUGAAAGAAGAUGGGAACAGGUUUUAGUUCCAACAACCUAUUAAAGAUCUGAAAGGCGCGAAUUCAAUUGAAUACUCAUAAAUCCAUGUCCUUCUCAAUAUUCACUGCACAUUCCUCUUAAUCAAUACAGAUAAACAACCAUUAGCAUUAGUAAAUAAGUGAAAAAUUUCCUGCACUCCAACCUAAAACCACCAAAUAAUCUGCGCUAGAAGCAAUGAAAGUCCUUCCUAGAACCUUAAACAUGGAAAAGAACGAAAACCAAUUCUAAACUUCUCAUUAAGAAAAAAUAUCUAGCAAAAGCCACCAAAAUGGUAGUGGCGUAAGAAUGGGGACGACCAACUUAGAAAUUUAGAAGGUUGUCACUCUUGGAACAUCAACUGGGAACUGAUCAAUUUCAGCCAUCCACGGGCUCUUUUCCUUGGCAGGAUCUAUAGUCUUGAGAGCUUUCCACACAGCACUGUUACACUUGAAUCCCGACCCGAAAGCUAUCUGCCAUGUUCUAUCUCCUUUCUUAAUCCUUCCCUUUGCUUCUGUGUAAGCUAACUCAUACCAGAGAGAACUGCUUGAGGUGUUUCCAAAUCGGUAUAGUGUCAUCCUUGAUGGCUCCAUAUGCCAAUCAGACAGAUGCAGGUUCUUCUCCAAUUCAUCCAAGACGGCUCUUCCCCCAGCAUGAAUGCAGAAAUGGUCAAAAGCAAGUCUGAAAUCUGGGAUGUAAGGUUUGAUCUUCAUCUUGAACAGUUUCCUACCCACCAAUGUAGCAAAGAAAAGCAGCUGCUCGGACAUUGGAAGAACAAGAGGCCCCAGUGUGGUGAUAUUGGUCUUCAAAGCAUCACCUGCUACAGCCAUCAGGUCCUUCGAUAGUGUGACACCAAUAUGCCCAGCAUCAUCUUCUUCUUGAGUAACACAGCUAAAGCACUUGUCAUCAGCACCCUUGUGCGUGCGGACAGUAUGGACUAAUUGGUACUUGGACCUCCUUCUGUCUGAGUUUUUGUUUGAAAGAAGUAUAGCAGCCCCUCCCAUCCGGAAUAAGCAAUUUGAAACAAGCUUUGAACGAUCAUUGCCAAAGUACCAGUUCAAUGUAAUGUUCUCCAUGCUGAUAACCAGCGCAUAAGAGUUAGGAUGCACCUGAAGAAGCUUUUGAGCAAGAUCAAUUGAGAUGAGCCCCGCGCUACAUCCCAUUCCACCAAGAUUGUAGCUGACUAUAUUCCCUCGAAGCUGGUAAUGAUUGAUAACCAUGGCAGAAAGAGAUGGAGUUGGAUUGAACAAGCUGCAGUUGACAAUCAAGAUUCCGAUGUCCUUGGGUUUUACAGAUGUCUUGGCAAAUAGCUCGUCAAUGGCACCAUACAUCACUGCCUCAGCUUCUUUCCUGGCUUCUUUCAUUGACGGAUUUGGGGGAAUGUUAAGUACAGCCUCUGGAAGGUAUGUUGAAUCACCAAGGCCGGAUCUCUCAAGGAUCCUUCUCUGGAACUGUAGAUUCUCUUCUGUGAAUGUACCAGUCAUCGUAGACUGAUCCAUGAAAAUCUUUUUCGUGCAUUUUCGAGUUUCUUCUGGCUUGUAACAAGAAAAGUUAACAAGGUACACAGGGCGAGGGCGGGUAAGAAAGUAUACAGUGGAUAGGAACACCAGGAGGGUCGAGCAGAUGAUCACCGAAAUCAGGUUGUAUUGGAGAUGCUCCCAUAGAUCAUAUAGAUCUUGGAGCGAAAAUGUGGAGAGCUGGGCAGCAAUAACAAUGACAAGAGGGGAAAGGAAAAGGUACAUUCCAUGGGUGAUGAGAAUAUGGUAACCAAGCUUCACAUAUUUUAGCUUAAUGGAUUUUUUGAAGUCGGGGAGGUUCCUAUUGUUUGAGGGUCUAGAUGAUGGUGGGAUCAAUGGUGUAUCUGGUUUUGGUUCCGCCAUAUUUCCCUGAUAAACAUACAACACCUCUAAUCAGAUCAAAUGCACAACAAAAUCAUAAACCAAUGUAUUAAUAGAAAAUUAUAAUCACAGAAGAUGAACUACCAGAGACUAAAAAUUAAAUUAGUAAAGGGUGGUUUUCCAGAACAUAAAGGCAAAUUCCAAUAGCUUUUCAAUUGGCAUCCAACCAGAAAUGACUCUUGGAAAGCCAAUGGAGCUUUUCAAAAAAGAAGGUUGUCUAUUAUUUACAGCUACAUAUCACACUGAGAUAAUGAAAAGGCAGAAAGAACACCUAAUGGUCCCAAUCCAAGCACCAAUUCAAAAAUGGUGGAACAGAACAAAAGCUACACACUUUGAUCCUUACAAGUUGGAGCCAAAGUGCUAAACACAAUCCAAACACAACCCCAGAUCAGAUUUUUCCAAUAAAGAACACUUCUUUCCAAACAAAUCAGCAGAUUAACAAACAAUGUUACACAACCCUUAUAAACACUCACACAAAGAACCAAACUUUAUCACAGAAACCAUACAAAUUCACACAUCCAAGAACAGAUCAAACCUCCCAAGAUACAAAACAGAACGUUAUAGAAAAAAGCUGCAAGCUUUGAUAAUGAGGCAAAACCCAGAUCGAAGACUGACCUUGGUUGCCGAAACCCACCACCAGAUCUCACAGGAAUGUCGUCGUCGCCAGCCAAAGACAACCGGAGAGAAACAGGGCAAAAGGGAAUAUGGGAGAGGUUCAAAGUUUGAAGUGAGAUUAUAUUAGAGCUAAAAAUAGGGANNNNNNNNNNNNNNNNNNNNGGCAAAUGCAUUUGCAAUUUUGGGUUUUAGAUAUUUUCUUUCUUCUAUUUUGUGUGUGUUUUCAUUGCUUUUUUCUCAUUUAAGAGGUUGAGAAUAAAGAUGUAGGAAAUCAUUCUAGUGAAGACCCUUAAGUUGAGGAUUUGGUGAGGGCUUUUCGGUUUAUGGUUUAAAAUACCCAAUUUUCGAUCACAUGUUGACAUCUUAUCUGUUCAGUUUUUAGGUUUAUAUGAGUAGAUCAUUUCUACAAAUUUUCACCCAAAUUGGUGUUCAUUAAGAUAACAAACUAGAUCAAAUUAAUGGACGAACCAAAUCUGCCAAAUAUGAACCGUUCAAGUUCAUAAUUGAUAAAUCACACUUAUGAAUGUCUUAACAAUUUUCAAUAUAGCUGAAAAUUUGAAGAAAUGAUAUACUCAUAAAUACCUAUAAACUGAACGGUCAAUAUGUAGAUAUAAGAUCGAAAUGUGGGAUAAACCGAAAAGUCUUUACCAAGUCCUCAACUUAAGGGUCCUCACUAGAAGGGCUCCCUAAAGAUGUAUACCAAAAAGAUAUCAACUUCCAAGUCUGUGUACAUGAAUCAUGUGCCAAUAUUUGUGUGAUAUACAUCUUAUCGGGUUGCAUUAGCUUUCAAGGUCUCUAUGGAUUGUGAAUCGAAAUUUACUCUUAUACAGUUAGUUGUUAGAGUUUAUUGUCUCAUGAAAAUUGUAGCGUUCGAAAAGAUACCAUAAUUUCAUGUCUAGACCCGUUUGGAGAUUUACUACUAUGAAACUCGCAUUCAUCCAAAGUACAGAAAACUAAAAUUUAGAAAGAAAAAAAAAACACCCUCUAGCCUCUGGUUUAUAUGUGGAAAUAAUACCUCCAAUAUUCUUCCCUUUAAUUUUGCUUUUCAAAAUCAAGGUGACAAUACAAAUGGCAUGAUGAUUGGAAAAGAAAAUGUCAAAUUAUUCCCUCUUUGAAUAUGACAAGUGAGAUUGAAGAAGAGUAUAGUGAAAUACAACAAAAUCGAGCCGCCCAUUACAGUUAAGGAGCCGUCAAGAACAAAGCCAGAAGGCUUAUAUUAUAUUUGACUGGUAUACAAUUCAGUGAAUUGGUAAUGUUGUAUAGGGCAGGCAAUUUGAGGAGGGACCAAGCACGAGGUUGAUGACCAGUUGUUCACAUGGAUAUAAAGGUUACAACUCUGUCACUGUCCCUAUUGUCAGCUGCGCUGGCUCCACAUGCUAUGCUGUUCUUCAACUCAAUCCAUGAGCUAUAUCAUCUUCUAAUAACAGAAACAACAAACCAACUUCAACAAUGAAGAAAUUUCCAAGUCUGUCUGUUUAGCAAGAUUUGACAAACUGUUUUAUGAGGAAAUGGUGAGGGUGAGAUGGAAUCUGGGAGAGUUGAAAAGGAAAUGUUGCCAACAAAUUUAUCUUGUGGGGUUAAGUUGGCAUCAACCAUCAAGCAUAAUUCCACCUUUGAUCAAACUUGGUUAAAGAAAAGCAAACUCUAAUACAGGAAAAGAAAUCUUACAGUAGUAACUUGCUGUUGGAGAACAAUGAUAUGAGGGAAAGUUAGUUGAACAAUAGGCAAUGUUGAACAUGCUACUCCAAUGUGAAUUCCUCCAGCCAUAUCAGCACUUCAUUUCUCUAAAAUGCAGUCAGCACCAAAACAACACAAAAGAUCAACCGUUAGAGUGAAGAAAGCAAAAUUCGGUAGGAUUUGGCAAAAAGAGGACUAACAGUACAAAUAAAAGCUUAAUGAUCAAGAUUACUUGCUACUGGUUUUGCUUUGUCUAGAAGGCAGUAGAAGUAACAGCUACCAAGACUACUACAACUAGGGCUAGUAAUCAGGCCAAAGUCGAGUUCAACUUUUCUUGAAAGAGGGUUGCUUGCAGUACUCAUAGACCUUCAAUAUGUGAAAGGGUAGAUAUAUAUCUUGUAACUUAUUAGAUGAAGUUUCAACAGUUGAAAUUUUCUUAGUUGAGGUUUUCUUGAAAACAGGUUUUCUUGCAGUUAUUCCAGAGCUUCAAUGUCAAAGGUAGCUAGAUAUCUUCCAACUUCUUGGAUGAAGUUCCUAUAGUUGGAAUUUUCUUUGGUGAAGAAUUUUCCAUCUUGAAGUUUUCUUUGAUGAAGUUUUCUCCAUAUAUCAUAUAAAAUUAGAGAUAUAUAAGAACACAUUAUCAGACUGGUCACUGAUGUUACAUACCAUUAUAAAGCUCCAAGUUCGGCCAGGGUCAUUGUAACGAGCAAGCAUACACCCGGCCUUAGGUUUGAGACCAUCUCUGAUAAGACUAGCACGCAGCAAAUUCUCCUUUUCACGAACAACAUCUUCGGUAGGCUUCCCACUAAACUUGAUAACAGCAGCAAUGCCUUCUUCCAUUUUUUUCAAGCUAAUUGUUUCUGCAUUAGGAUCUGGUAAACUGGCCACAUCACAUUUUUCUUAUUAAUAUAUAACUCUUCACAAGGACAAAUGUAAGUACGAUAUAUAUCUAACAUCUAUUAAUUCUCCACCUGCUUAAAUCCUUGUCAAGUGGAAGACAUACUUUGAUGGAUACUUUGGAAAAUUCAGCAUCAGAUGCCUCAGUGAACACCGGAGUUGUCAUUGGUAUCUUUUCCAUUUUUGAGUUCUUUCCAAAGAUGUACCUAAGCAAAUCCCAUUUCCAUAUCACAAAAAGAAACAAAAUUUUUUUUUUUUAAAGAAAAUAUAUUUAUAGCACAUGAUUAGCUAAGCUGUAAUGCAAGCACUCACCCAGUAACAUCAUUGAAACCAGCUGAUCCAGACAGCUUGUCUGCACUUCCUUCUACCACUAUAAAAGGGGAGUACUUUCUUACCUGUAGAAUCAAUCCAGGAAUCACCAACAAAACAGUAAAACCAUCCAAUCAAAUAGAGUUACAGAAGAAAACAAAAACCUUCAAAUGUAAUGCAUUUCAUUCAUGAUUCAUCAACUUUAGAGAAUGAAGUCUAAAAGCCCAACUUUUAAUGAAUGCAACAUUAGCCAUUCACUAAGGAGAACACACCUCAUAAUUUGCUGUUCUCUUUAGUAUGUCAUAUUUUGGUGUUUCCAAGUCUGGAGUUUUGUAAAUCCUCAGCUGCAGGGUUUUACAUACAAGAAGAGACUAAGGCAAGAAAGAAUCUUUAUACAUGAUAAUGGAAAGUGUAUAAUGAGUCUGCCAAUACCUGCUUGAAUACAUCUAACAAACCUUCUACAGAAAAAUAGUCAUUCUUCUUAAUGGAAUCCCAGAAGUCCUACAUGUACAUUACAGCAGAUACAUGAACAAUUUUAGAAAUUACGCUGUAUCAUCUACAUUGUACUAUAAAGAGUCAUGAGGUGAAUGAUUGUUACCACAUGGCUGCAGAACUUCCCAGUUUCGGGGUUGAUUCCCAUAACAGAAGUACCAGUGAAGAUCAAUUCUGGUUUCCAAGGCAGAGGGACGAACUUCAUAACCAUAGUCCACCUUGUAGUGAUUUCAUAUGGUCCUGACUAUAUAGCAUCUUAAUCAGUAACUUAAGACAGUCCCACUCCAAUUUCAAGUGGACAUCCACAUGAAUAUGCACAGAUUGAAAACUUUAAACUAAAAGUUUGAGUCUGCACUCAAAUUUUAUUUCCUCAUAUUCAACAUAGUCACAUUAACCUCAUCCAACAUAUAUAUGCAGCUAUGCAUCAUCCAAAAUUCUAAGUUACAUAAUUUCAUUCUAUGAAAAUCAUUGAACUGCACCCAGUUAAAUUCUUAUAUUUAAUUACUCAAUGCCUAAAAUUCCCAAUAUUCUAGUAGUUAAUCUAAUAAGGGAAAGAACACAGGUCCUUUAAACAGUUACCUGUUUUACCCAGUGCAACUGGAACUUGGGAGUGAAGACUGUCUUCAAGAAGGCAAUGUUCAACAAAUAGCCAGUUAUAGAAUCAUGCUUGGUGAUUGGAUCCCUGAACUUCACACGUUCAUCAUACGCCGUCCGAUCAAUUCCUUGAUCAUCAAACAAGUGAACUAAAUCCUGGUACAGAAAAUCGACCACCCUUUCCAUGUCGACGGUUGAUUUUGGCGGGCUUUGGUCUACUAAGCUAAGUCUAACAGCCCACUUUGAGUAGUUUUGCCUUGUUUGAAGCCCCAAGUGUUUGUGUUUCAAGGCUUUGGAACGUGGAUGGCAUGGUAGUUUAUUCGCUUUGGUGGUGCUCAGCCGCCGUAAACUGACGCACACGGCGGGGAUAGGCCUGAAAACUUGGUCGGAAAGCUGUGUGCUAGCCAUUUGGUGGUUGUGGUGGGCGUGUGACUGUGUUGGCUUGGUGCGUGACCAUGCAUUGCUACUAUGAAACAACUUAGCCACAAGUAUUGAUUGGUUGGUGUUCGUUUCUGAAAUUAGUGGCUACAAUUUCUUCAUGUAAACAUAAUUGAAUAGUAGAACUCGUCGUUUGUAAAUACCUUAUGAAAAUGAUAAGGAGAAACACUAGUAUCAUUGUCCUGCAGAUAUGACUUUAAGCUAAAUUCUCCAUUCUAUGGUAGACUAGCACAGUAUUGCAGCACAAUUUCACACUCUCAGUACAAGACUUUACUGAUGAGAAACCCCUCUGUAUAUUUGGCCAUCCAUGAACUUCAAUAUCAUAACUAAUCCAAAACAUAAACACCAAAUAAGUGACCAUUUCCCAUCUCCUAAAUCACACAUUGUGCAGGAGAAAGAUGAAAUGAAGGGCAAGAUUCCUCCUGCCGUAAAUAAGUUGGAUAAGUGAGGGCAUCAAGGACUUUUUCAUUUGCUAAGAAAUUAAAAUGUAGCUGGCUUAGUAUAGAACCCUCUUGUUUCCCAGGGUUCUGACAGGAAUCACAGGAUUAAAUGGCAACAGCCCUCCCUCAGUCUCCCACUCUCAAGACUCCUCUUUCAGGAUGUGUGACGACGAGUGCUAUGAAGGUAAGUCUCUCUUGACCUCUGCAUCCACCUCUAAGCUUGGUUUGUCCAUUUCUAAUGUCAUCACAAAAUGGCUCGAAUCCCUACCCGAAGAAAUCAUACCCAACAUCCUAAUCACACUACCUGUCAAAUCCCUCAUCAGAUUCACCUCUGUCUGUAAAUCUUGGGAGUCCACCAUCAAAAACCCAAAAUUUAUCCACACCCACCUCACCCACACUCUCAAUUCCAAUGACCAAAACGACACCCACCUCAUUCUCUUCCACGAUGUUCAUAGUAAACAUUUCUGUCACUAUCCUAAGUACAAGAAGCCUCUUUCUCUCUGCAUUAUGAUUACACUGCUGCUGUUACUGAGUAUUGCAAGAUUGAGUUUCCAGUAGCUAUCAAGGAAGCAGUCAUGAAUGCUUUUCGUGUUGUGGGUACUUGUAAUGGGCUGGUUUUGCUGGCUGAUGAUUUGGAGGAUUACGGUUACACCUUUGUUGUAUGGAACCCUAGUAUAAGAAGGUAUGUGACCCUUCCCAAGUCCACUAUGAGGUUUUCGAGGCAAGGUACGUAUGUUGGUCCGGUUGGUCUGGGUUAUGAUGCUGUUGGUAAUGACUAUAAGGUUGUGAGACUUACCACCCUUUUUAAGAAAGAGAAUCCUUGUCGGCCUGAUAUUUGGCCCACUUCAGUUGAGGUUUAUUCACUCGCCAAGGGCAUUUGGAGCACGGUCAGUCCUCCUCAAUGUAUUGUUCUUCAUUACUCCGCUGCUCAGGUUUUCGUCAAUGGGGCACUUCACUGGAUGGCUAAGCAUUGCCAUUGGAUAGAUGAGAUGGUACAUAUAGACUCUUUCAUUUUGACAUUUGAUGUGGCUGCUGAGUCAUUUGGAGAGAUAAUGUUGCCCAAGGGCUUCGAAUCAGAGGAGGCACAGUUGUCUACGUUGUCUGAUUCUGGAGAUAGAAAUUCUAUUGCUCUGUUUGUGAGGAAUGAGGUUCCGGGUGCUUUUGGUCUUGAAUAUUGGGUAAUGAAAGAGUACAGUGAGGAGAAAUCAUGGACAAAGUUGAUGGUUUUUGGUCCACAUGAUCGGUGGAUAAAUGUACCCAGGGUAUUGUGUUUUAGGAGGAGUGGUGAAGUGAUGUUGUUACUUAAGGAUGGCCAUACAGUUUCACUUGACAUUGUGAGCGAAGAAUUUAAACAUCUAGGGAUGUAUGGAGGGGACCUUAGCUCUGUUCACUCUUAUGAAGAGAGCCUUGUCUUGCUUGAAAGGAAAGAUGUUGUUUCUUACUGAGGCAAUGAACCAAGUAAGGUGAUUAUUUCUUGAACUUACCUUUGCUGAUAGCUUCUAAUUUUAAUGCAUAUGCUGCUAAUUGUAUAUGAUCUAUGACGAUUGGAUUUUACCUCAGCCACAAAGUUUGAUAUUGUGUAUGCUGAUUGCUUUGAUUGCUCUGUGCGUCAUGUAUUAUAUUUUUUCUUUGCCACAAGUUUGUUGUUCGUGUCUUUCUGGUGUUUCGUUAGGAACUUGCUAUAAUAUUGUUUUAAAUGUUUUCCUGUCUUAGCUAAUUGUCUUUCUUGUUCUGUCGUUUUGAGAACAGAGACUAGUAACCAAGUUGAUUAGAAAUCAAGCAAACCAACUUCAGAACAAUUCGCUGUACUUUAUGUUUGGAAAACAAGACUUAAAUGAGUAACUACUCAUAUCAUAUCAUUGCUUUCUCCGUGUUUUCUAUAAUAUCUGUUUGGUAUUACCUUAGACAGUAGAGUGUGGUCUCCAAGGAACUGUUGAGGCUACUGCAUUGUAUUUGAAAUUACAUGUUUUUAUUUGCUGUUGUUAACUGACCAUAUUAUCUCUGUCGAUGAUGUGUACUUGUCACUUUGAAUCGUUCCCAACCAACCAUAUUAUCUGGUCGAUUGAUUUGUUAGUUUUUGAUGACUACUUGUUACUUUUAAUAUGAAUAUGGCACAAAUCAUGCUAUUUGAUUUUCUAUUUGCAUAGGCAGCAUCAUAUGAAAGCUGAUGAAAUGUGGGAUACCAAAAUUAAGACCGAGUAAUAGUUGCAACUUUCUACUCUAAUUUCUGUAGAUUUUCUUUGUUUAUCAAUAUUUGGAUUGAAUUUCCAUGGCAUUAUCUUUUUCUUUUCUGGGUUGAAUUACCUCCGUUUUACAUUACAUGCCUUGGCAAUCUUGAGCUGAUUAUCAUCCUACAUCUCUGUCAUCAACUGUGAACCACAUACUUUCCCUUCACUUCACUCUCUAGUCUCUAUGUUGUGUUAAUACAAAUAUCUGAACAAAGCGUUGAAAAGUGUUCUACUACCACUUCCGGUGCGUUCAUGCAGCAUCCCUUUUGGGACUCCAUAGCAUUUGGGACUCCAUUUGUAUAAUAUAACUUGCUGAAGCAUUUAUUCAAUUGUGUGCAGGUCAGACAUUGGGACACAUGACUUUCAAGACUGUUUUUUGUAGCUGUGAAGUGUGAGAAUCUGAUGCAUGGGUUUGCAAUUUCAGUCACUCCAUCUACCGACUGAACUUUUGAAGUGCAUCUAUAUAGGAUAUGUAGUCCCAUCUAGUAUGGGUAUGUAAUCCUAACAUGACUCGCUUCUAAUUUGGAUCUUCCAUCAGACUUAUCAGUAGUUAUUAGUAUUCUCGUGUGUAACAAUAUUUCAACUGAAUAGAUUACCCUCUAUCUUAAUCGUUUACGCGAUCUCUUGUGGUUUUUCUUAACCGCAUCCAAAGCUUGAUGCUUACAAGCUUUGGAAUAUGGAGAAUGGCCUAAAUUUGCCUUUGCUACUUGUGAAUUCUUUCAUGCUUGUGUCUUUGCUAUUCCACAUUCUAUUGAAAGAUCCUUUAGACAUUGAGAACAGGUCAACUUGCGGAACAUGAUUCACCUUCGAUUAAUCAGGGAUGACACUAAGAAAUUGAUACUAGGAGAGAAAUUUGACAUAUGCUAAGUAUCAGAAGUCUCUCAAUAUACCCUGAAUUGAUUCCCUCAAAGAUUGAUGUGAAAUUGAAAGAAAGAACCAGUAUCAUACUCACUUCAAGCUAAUUUCUCCAAUCUAUGCUAGACUAGCACAUUCUUGCAGCACAAUUCCACACUCUAGCACACGACUUCACUGAUGAGAAACGCGCCAAGCAUAUCAUCAUUCCCCUAUAUACACACUUCAAUAUCCCAACAAGGCUGUUGUAUUGCCAAGUUGGGCUCUUUCAUUACGGACUUUGGUGGUGGUUCAACGGGGCCGUGACUGGAGUAAAGCCCAUAUGCAUUGCAAAUUGCUUUUCGGCUAUGAGACAUCUUACCCACAAGUUGAUUGGUUGGUGUUCAUUUCUGUUUACAUCCUUAAAUAUAUUAUGCAAAACUAUUAAGAUAAAGAUUUUAAACUAAAUAUUUCAAUACUAACCUCACAAUCAAGAAUUUUUGUGAAAAUAUAAUAUUAAACUAAAAUCAAUAAAAUCCAAACAACAACAAUUCUCUACAUCUUUACAUCAAAAAAAAAAAAACAAUUCUCUACAUCUUUUAAAUCAGAUUUGAGAAUAUACAAUGUGGUGGGAUUGUUCGUUCUUAUUUUUAUUUUAUUUAUGGCUUCAAAUGUAGUCUUUCAUAUAUAUAAUCGUAAAGAAGGAAGUCAAUAAAGAGAUCAAGGAGAAUAUAUAUAGGAUGUGGUUUGUGAAUAAAUAGAGGUAUGCGUUAAAUAUAUUGAUGAUAUAUUUUUAUAUUUUAUCAGAUUGAGGAAAAUAAAAUAAAGAAAAUAAAAACCAGAUUUUCUCUCAUAAUUUUGAGGGCAGAAUUAGAACGUUAAAGAUAAAAAAUAAGACGUGGGGUGAACUAAGCAUUUAGUGGGGUGGAAAUAGCCGCACCCUAAAAUAUUUGUAAAAAAUGUUCUAAAAGGUGCUAAAAACCAAGAAUAAGAAAACUCAUUAUUUGUAAAUUAAAGUGCAUAUCUUAAAUCAUUUUUGUCUAAGUAAAAGCAGGCAUGAAUCGAGAAUCUUAAACCACAAUAAUAUCAUACAACAAUUCUCAAAUAGAAAGAUCAUAGCCCCAUAAAUUACAAAAUUUGCUCACUCAUAUCCACCACUAAAGUAAUAUAUGUACAUUGCAUUUGUGUAGAGAACUACUAUAAAUUUAGGAAAAUUCAUACCUGUCCAAACUUUUUGACUGUUAUAUGUACACGUUUGUAAAACAUUGCCAUAUAAAGUGAACGUUGGACAUGCAUUAGAAAAACACAUUCUUCCACACUCUUGACACAAGUCGUCACUGACGAGAAACGCGCCAAGAAGCAUCAUCCCUCUAUAUAUAUGCCCAUCCAUGAACUUCAAUUCCAUAACCAAUCCAAAGCAUACACACCAAAGCUCCCAUUUCCCUCAUCUCCUAAUUCAGACUCUUCAUUUCAUAAGAAAACCCAUCAUCCAAAACCUCCAAAUCAACAGUCCAAACUAGAAGGAUGUCGAAAAUGUUUGCCCUUUCAAAGUUCGAGACUGCCUCAAUAUCAUGGUGGAAGAAGCAUGGAGAUGGAGACGACGACGGUGAUGAUGGAUACGACUAUGCCCCAGCGGCAUCAGCAUGCAUGGAAGGCGACAGCGAUGACGACGAUUCCGACUAUGAUUAUGCUCCGGCGGCCUCUACGGAAGGCGAUGACGACGACGAUGAUGGUGGUUAUGAUUAUGCUCCAGCUGCAUAAGAGCUGUGUAACUAGCAAUUCAGUCGAAAUUGCUUAUAUUAAUUCUUGAUAUGAGAUCGAGUGGCAUUUCUAUCACAGGGUUAUUUGCAAACCCCUAAGUAUUUUCUGACGGCCUUUGUAGCUCGUCAGAUGUUAUAGGGUAUUAUGUAUCAAUUUCUGAUCAGUAAACCUCUGAAUUAUGGUCCUCUACUACUCUAAUUUCGUUUUUUGUUUGAAACUCGAAGAUGCUAAUUAAGUAUUAACAUGAGCAAAUGUGGUUUGUGACACUGUUUCCUUUCAAUGAUCGAAGUCUGUAAUAGUUUCAAGCACACAAUAAGUCUCAUUUCCCUAUCUGCAAGUUUGCUUAAUUAGUGAAAUAGAAAUACUUUACAUGGAUGAUUUGAUCAUCACUUACUAAAUGAAACUACUUGACUAUCAAUUCGAGGAACCUGGAGAAACCAAAUUUGUUCAUAUGCUGUUGUUAUUUUCCAUCUUUCUUGUAAUGGCUCAGCUCACCCCGCACUUGCUUUAUCAUGAUAUUCUCUUCCUUUACCUUUUCAAUUAUAAUUCUAAUGUAUUUCUCUAAGUGGUCACUUUACUUAUCAUCUGCUAUAAACUAAAUUCAAACUUUCUGGGAUUGCUGACGAAGAGCUUAGUAUUCGACGAGCUACUAA